rnacentral:lncRNA from 1 species
UGAACCGUGGUAACGGCAUGCUUAUAUGACACGACUAUGUUGCGAUGCUCGACAGGCCGCAGCGGCGGUGUGCUUCCACAACAUGACCAUGCUGCGACGGAUGCUACGAUGGUGUCUCAGCUGACAGGAUACCAGCGAUGCUGCAAUGACGACGGCAUGCUAUGAGUUCGUGGUGCAACGGUAGUCAUGCUAUGACGAUCGGCGUGCUACGAGCAAUACCGAUUUGCUGCGUGUCGGUGUUGCGACAACGCCGAUGUGUGAAAAGUCGGUGCUACGAUGGGGAAGAACGAAACAAGACAGUGAGGAGUGGUCCCGUUGACUUGUCUGACCAACGGUAAGAUCAAGAUUAAUCGAAGUAUGAAGAAGACAGUUGAGUCCGCACCAAUACAUCCACGUGAUAUGUACCCAGCCAAGCAGAACAAGAACCAACGAUUUGCUUGUUCCAUCGUACGACUCGAAAGACGGCUUAAAACUCAUACAAAUCAUCCGUCUGACGCCUAGUGCGGGUCUUUUUUUUGACAAACCAACGAACAUUUUCCCCAUCGAGAUCGGGUCUCCUAUACACCGCUCCUUGCGGCCAACUGCCGAGCAAACACAUAGGGGUUGCCCGACUAGCCCGGCCCAGUUAUUUUUUGUAUUUUGUUUUUCUGCUCUUUUUCUGUUUAUUUCCUUUUUUGUUCAUUUUUUCUUUCUUUAUUCAUUUUCUUUUAGAAUUUGAAGCAAAAACAAAAUCCAGAACAUUUUUUGUUUCUGUUUUUAAAAAUGUUCUGAAUUAUCGACAAAUGCUCCAGUUUUUCAAAUUGUUCACAAGUUAAAAAAAUCUUUCUUGAAUUUGUUUCGCAAUUUCAAAAAUUCAGGAACAUUGUUUCAAAUUCCGGAAAACAUUUUUUCAAAUUCCAGAACAUUUUUUCAAAUCCUGGAAAAAAUUCAAAAUCCAAAAAAAAUUAAUUUUUUUUGGAAUAUUUCUUCAAAUUCUGGAAUAUUUUUCCAAAUACCGGAACUUUUUUCCAAAUCCAGAAGAUUUUUGUAACAGAAAUAGAAAAAAAGGAAACAGAAAAGAAUAAAGAAAAAGGAAACGAAUUUUUUCUGAAUAUUCAAAACAUUUUUUGAAAGAGAAACAGAAAAGAAAAAACUGAAAAAGCUGAAGCAGUUCAGUGAACCUUCUAGAAGUUUUCCAAAACCAAAAAAAUCCGGCUGAGAACCUCUAGAAGGUUCCCAAAACCGGGACUCUCUAAUGGGCCAGCCCAAUCUGAAGCCAUCCCUCUCUUCCAUGUGCAUUUGGUCGACAUUUCAACACACAAAGUAUCAAAUAGGAUUUUCCGUCGCGACCUCCCUCCCCGCUCUUCAUCAUCAAGCUACAGCCCAAAAUGCAACAACUAGUGAUUCUUAUUUGUGGCCUACAUCGUGUGUUUUUAGUGUUUCUGCAAACGAACGCUCACAGUACGUCUUUAACUCUUCCAAAUAAUCGAUGAACUUUUUUCAAAAUCAAUAUAUUAUUAAAAAAUCCAUGAACUUGGUUUCGAGUUUACAUUUUUCAGAUAAUUUAUAUUGGGUACAUGUUAAUGUUUUACUAAGCAAAAAGGUUAUCUAGCAUUGUUUUCUUGCACUAGAAAACAAAGUUACUUUGGUCUAGUGGUUAUUGCGGUGGGCUGGCAACAUUGCAAACCGGAGUUAGUAUGGAUUUUUCUUUGGAGGUCCUAUACAACCCAUUUAGCGUCGGUUAGGCAAACCGGGGUUGUAGCGUCCUUCUCGUGGGUCGGCCCAUGUAGAAUGUGUUGGUUCUUAAAAAUCAAAAAAGUUUAUAAAAAAAAUCAGAUUUGCAAAAAAGUUCAAUGAUUAUAAAAAAAGUUCACCAAUUUUUUAGUUAUGUUUAUGUUUUUUCAAAAAGUUCACAAAAUUCAAAAAAAAUCAUUGAUUUUCAAAAAAAGUUUAUGGAAUCUCCGAAACUAUAGGAUCUGAAAACUAAAUCUACAUCAUGGGAUAAGGUGGCUGGGAGGAGAAACCGGAAAUUAAAAAUGCAUGAGCGUACAACAGUGAAGAAGCUAUCGAUAAGUAGCGAUACUCGUGGGAUACGACCAUCUGCCAUAUUACACACGACCUCCUUUUCUCUAUAUAUUCUCUAUCUUCCAUGUAACAAAAAAAUCUUAUGUGACAUGUGUUAUAGACGACUGAGUUGAUGCUGUUGUACAUGCCCUUAGAGUGGCGGUUAGGAGCUCCCUCAGCUGCUAUUUGUAAAGAUUACAAUGGUAUAAUUCCCAGGAUUCUUCUGCAAUGGUGUUCAACAUUGUACAUGCUCCGGCAAACGCUUGAAGUACUUGCUUGUCGAGAAGAAUUAGCUCUAGCUCUUGAUAUUUUUGUGCAGAUCGGGUGGGAUUCGGUCGUGUCCAUUGGUCCUCCGUUUAAAAGGGAGCGGCACGAAGCUCUGCUAUCUGUUGCCAUCAGGAGCUAUGUUUUGCUUUAUGGUGAAGUCAGAUGUGGAGAAUGUCAUGGAAGCCGAUGUUGGAGGACUGGUAAUGGUGAUUGGAGCCUACAACGCUGAGGAAUUUGCUUGGAGUUUCGGGAUUCGUAGCGGUGGUAUGUAAGUGGGGCAACAACAUAUGUGAAUGUUCAAGAUCUUACCUUUCAGGAUGAAAAUCUAAGACUUGGCCUUAGUUGGUUGUGUAUCACAAUGGCCUUGUUGAAGGCAUUGUUUUGAGAGCGGACAUUAACUUCAGGGUGAAAACCAAGAUAUAUAAUCGGAUGACGACGACGCUUGUGCACUGUUUCCUUCUUUGAGGCAUCGCUUUUGGGGAACUUGGACUACGGGGGUUGUUUUUGUGGUGGUUGUACUGCUGCUGCAAGGACUGGAACUAUGUAGCAGGGCUUUUCUUUUUUUAGCUUCUUCUUUCUUUUUUGGUUGCGUCCAGCCGUAAUGCCAUUAGUGUAUUGCGUUGUUGCAGAGGUUGGGUGUAAUUGAUAUCUUCGAGAUAUUAAUAUAUUUCCUUUAUCAAAAAAAAAAAAUUCUGUGCGAAGAGUGAUUAUUGCAUGCGAUUGCAAAUCAGUAGUAUAAGAGAUAAAGAAUGGAACCAAAGGAAGGUAUAGCCCAUCAAAGAAGUCACAAAAAGAUCAUGAUAGUCCACUUUUGUAGAUUCACGUUUGAAGGACUCAUUUUAAACUUUUGAGGCUCAUAGUUUGGCAAAGUUUUCUUCUUCUUUAGUCGAGGGUCGUUAUGUCUGGUUAGGAAUGCCCCAUGGCCCGUUUAAUUAUCCGAGUAUCCGGUAAUCCUCCUUAAUAAAGUGUGAUUUACUGUUGAAACAAAAUCAAAUCAAAGUCAUUAAUUAAAGGGUUCCCUACAAAAAUCAAUCCCACCUUCUCUGGAUGCGACAAGUGGUGUAGUGUAUGUGGGCAACUUGUUGCUUCCGAAGAGUUUUCCCUUUUUAGGUAGAUUCGUUUAUCCAUACGGUUUAUCUUAAACCUUAUGUCCAAACUGCGAGCUUUUUUCAUCGUUGGAUUUCAUGCGUUGAAAUUUUUAAAACUAGAUCUCAUGUUAAUAGGUUUUGACGAAAUUUUUUUCAUGAAAAAACCAGAAGAAAAGAAAACAGACCGAAACCACGGUUAUUUCUCUCACAUUUUCUAUUUCCGAGAGUUAUAGUUGUCCUCUCACGAAAUAAAAUCCAUGUCCCCACGUGAAGCAAACUUGUACCUCUCAUGUAAGAGAACAAACAAUAUUUUUUUUGCUUUAUAUGAGGCAUAACUGUGCCUCUCACGAAAGAUUUUUUUUAUCUUUUUGAGAGGCACAAAGUAUGUGCAUCUUGCGGAAUAAAACAAUGUUUUUUUCUAUUUCCCAAAAGGUGCAGUGGAAGCAAACUGUUGUUCCGAUGAAAGAAAAUAACAUUUUUUCAUACAAUUUUUUUCUCCGUACUUUUUUGUCCAAAAUCUAGGAAAACUGGGCAAAAGCCAUAAGAAUCAUCUAAAAUCUGAAAAAGCAUACAGAAAAUAGAAUAAAAAUAAAACCCUUAAAAAGCGUCCAACACGCGACAAGUGGCAACCAAAAGCACAUCGAUUGACGCGGUCUCAGUCCACCCGAUUUUUUUGAACACAUGCAAAAUGCUCAUAUAUACACGUAUAACUAUAUACUCACCCCUAUGAACAUAGACACGCACGCCUUAUUUCUAUGAUCACCUCCGAGAGACUGAGCCGGCAUAUCAUCUUGAAAUUUACGAAGUCACCGUAGACACUUCAUCGUCGACGGAAACGUCUCCUCCCAAUAAAGUGUAUCGUUAGAAAUCCUAAAAUAAAUUCAGAAAUAAUGCAAGCACUAGGACUUCAAUCCUGAUGGGCUAGAGAUACCAUUGUCCUUCUAACCAUCCAACCGCAUGUUAAUUUGCUCAGCCACCCAAAAUGAGAGGAUCCCGCAAGGGGUAACCCUUAGUUAAUUACUCCUACGUCAAAGUAGCAUAUCAUAAAGUCAUAAAAAAAUCAAGGUAGCACCAUUCAAGACACAACAUCAAGCUACAAUUCAUUUUCUAGAACAGGUGCAAAAAAACAUUGUUCAAAAAUAAAAUUGCCGUCAUGUUUGAAAGAAAAAUGGCGUAACACAAGUAAAAUGCCAUCAUGUUCAAAAAAGAUGGAUCACAUGCAAAAACAAAUCCUUGGAAAAAAGAACCUUCCAUACCCUAAGAGCUAAGAAUACAAACGACAAGAAAAAUGGGGUAUGUUUAUACACAAAACUGCCACAUUUUAAAAUAAAAAUACAUUAUGCACACAUAAAACAUGAUGUUGAACCUAAAAAUGUCAUAUAAGAAGUCCAUGAUAUGCUAAAAUAUGUCGUUUUCUUACUAACGAAAUUUCCAUGCUCUUAAUAAAAAAUGGCAUGCUCUAUACAAAAAUGACAUGUUCUCUCUAACAAAAAAUUGUCAUCUAUAUAAAAAUAAAAGUGUCAUGCUCUUUAAAAUAAAAGUACCAUCUUGCAUAAAAACAUGACAUGCUCUACAAACAAACCCCAUGCACUUUAACAAAAUUGAAUGGUGCAAAAAAAAGGAAAAAGUCCAUUUUGAACCCUGAAUUUGUAGAGGUUCGACGAAAUGAAACUCCAACUCGAAAUCCCUGUCGAUUGCACCCUGAACUAUGUAAUCCUGGUCUAAAAAGAACCCUGGAUUCGUUUGACAAACUGGGAUUGCUGAUUUGACCAGUUAGGCCCAUCUCGGUAUCGUACAUCACAAAACAUUUACGGAAUUAAAAAAAUGAGAAUAAAAGUUCACGAAUUUUGAAGAAAUAACCACGGAUAUAAAAAAAGUUCAACGAUUUUAGAAACAAAUAAAUGGAUUUUCAAAAUUAAAAUUCAGGGAUUUUCAAAAACAUUGUGAAGUCCACAGGUUAUUUUAUAGUACGUAGGAAGCACCUUAAAAUGGUUUUUAACAUAUGAUUAACAUUUUUUUAGAAUACAUGUUAAAAAUAUUAAUACAUCAUAUACAAUUUUUUAAUUGUCCCCAACACUUUUUCGAAAUGUAUGAACAUUUUCCAAAUGCAACAAUUUUAAAAUUACACACAUGUAUAUUUUUAUAAUUUUGAUAUAUAUGUUAAAAUUACACACAUGUAUGUUUUUUAUAUUUUUGUUUUCUGGUUCUUUUCUUCCUUUUGUUUUUAUUUUUAUUUUUAUUUUCUGUUUCAAUUUAUAUUUUAUACUUUUUAUUUUUUUAUUUUUUAUUUCUUUUUUUGUUACUGUUUUAUUUUCACUUAUAUUAUAUAGAGUUCAUUGUGUGUCGUCAAAAUAUUUAUUGUAUAUCAUGUGUGCAUGUACGUGUAUGUGUGGAUUGUCAUGGUGUGUAUUAUACAUACCUGUAGGCUAUUCGGCGUUCAUCGCUGGACCGGAUUUGUCCCAACACGCUGUAAGAAAUAUUUGAAAAAAGAUUACUCAUUUUUUAAAAAGAUUAACAAAUUUAAAAAAAUGCUGACCAGGUAGAGCUUAAAGGUACAGUCUUAAUAUACUCACAACUACAAGAACAAAUGCAUGCAUCACUCCACAACUACAAGAAAAAAUGUUCGCGCAUCCAAAAAAUAUUUUCGAAUUUGAAAAAUGUUCCGAUUUUGAAAAAAAUCAUGUUUUCUAUUUUUGAGAGAUUUUAUAAAAUGGUUCACAUAUUAUAAGAAAUGUUCGUGUUUCAGGAAAAAAAUUAUUUGUUUGAAAAUGUGUUGGCCGUUUUGAAAUAUGUUCUAAAAAUAUUAAAUAUGUUUGUGAUUUUAAAACGGGCCGGCCUAAAAAAUAAAUCCCGGUUGACACGGUGCGAGGGUUUGAUUUAGACCGGGAUUGCAUAGUUCAGGGUGCAAUCGACCGGGAUUUCGAGUUGAGGGUUUAUUCCGUCCGACCAAUACAAAUUCAAGGUUGAAAUUGGACUUUUUCCGCAAAAAAAUGCCAUGCUUCAAAAAGUAAACUAUCAUUGCCUAACUAAAUAAAAUUGCCAUCGUAUGAAUAGUAAAAGGUACAAAGCCCAACGAAAAAAAACUCAUGGUGCAACUAAACAAAUUGCCAUGAUCUAAAUAAAAUAGGCUUGCCAUGGUACAUGACUUGAAAUGGCCAUUGUCUAAUUUUGGAAAAUUCCAUCCUCCAGCUAAAGAAUUGCCAUGGUACCCAAAUAUAAACUACCAAGUUCUGACUAGUAAAUAUACCAUAAUCUGAUGACUAAAAUUGCAUUGGAUUCCAUAAUAGAAAUGGCUUUGCUAAAAUACCUCUAAAUGUAAGAUAAGUAUUGCACAUGUAAGUCCUCUAUCAUUGAUCUUACAUGAAAUUCGUGUGGGUAUUUUUUUUCUUUUCUUUUCCUUUUCAUGCUUUAUUUAGUUAUUUAGAUGUGCAAUAACUAUGUCACAUCUAGAUGUGUUCUAGAUACAUCCUAAUAAAAAUGCACCUUUACGAACAAUUGUAGGAACAUGUCAAUUCUUAUGGGUGAAAACUGAAUAGUGUGACAACUUCAAUAUAAACACUCUUAGUAAAAUUCAGAACGAGGCAAUCUCUGGCAUUGUGUUGCCCAUGGCAAUUUCUACAUGAGAUGACCUAAUUCAAGUACACAAAAGAUUUAUGAAAAAAUGCCAUCUUAUUUUCAAACAAAAAAUCAAUGGCGAAAAAAAUCGGUAGACGCAUAUUUAAAACUUUGUGUCCAAAACCAUAUUAAAAAUGUUAUAAUAGUUGUACCAACAAUGCCAGGCUCCUUAUAAAUAAUAUGCCAUGUAUGUAAAUAAUGCCAUACCAAGUUCAAUAAAGAAAGUGCCAUACAUUGAAAAUGCCAUGUUGAAUACAAUAAAAUGCCAUACAAAAAUUGUGAAUUUUGCCAUGAUAUUUUAACAAAAAUAAUUCCAUGUCACUUUAGAAAUAAUUGCCAUGGUUAUAGACAUUUUUAAAAUGCCACCUCCUAAACAAUUCACAUGACUUCAUGGUUCAGUUUGUAAAAAGUUGCCAUGAUUUCAAUCUAAGAAUUGCAGAAAAUACUAUGUUAGACAAUAUUUUUUAGCAAACAUUGUUGAAUGUUUCACGGUGCAAAAUUAUGAUUCUGUAAAAAACCUAGAUGAAUUCGGUGCUCCGAAAUUUCUCGAAAAAAUAACAUCUUUAAAGUAUCGAUUUUCCCUUAGUGAUAGAAACAUUGCAUGCAUAUGGAACAUUAACCAGUGUUUUGUCACAAAAAAAAUCUUAUAUUUUUCUUUUUGUUUUAGAUUUUUUGUUUUGAAAAGCAUGCCUUAUAUUAAUUAAGCAAACAAAAGGUUAUUACAAUCAUUCAUUACGCCUUGCGUGGCGGGAUAGAGUUAACAAGCAACCCAUUAAACCUGCUACUAAAACUAAACUUAGCAAUCUCAUGUACCAUCUCGUUGGCAGGCCGACUUAUUUUUGAAAAACUUAAUUUUGGAACAUGUUAGUAAUACUCACUUAACAAGCAACACAUCAAACCUGCUACUAAACUUAGCAAUCUCGUGGUCGACUUAUUUUUGAAAAACAUGUUGACAAUACUCUGUCAAGCUUCUCAUUUGCAAGGAAGGAAUAAAUGAAGGCACACUCAUUUGCAAGGAACGAAUAAACGAAAGCACUGCCAAUUUGUUUUAGAUUUGAGUACAAUUGUUCAUCUGAGAGCAGUACUGUAAUUCAAAACGACAGAAAUGAACUCCAUAUAUUGCAGAAGAAUGCACCACUGUCAAGGCAAAAUUGCUUGUUUACUGCUACACAAAAAUAUAUGUUAUCGAGUGCAAGUAUAGUUAGUUCUUGUGGGGUAUUGCGAGUUGUAAGAGCAUCUCUAGCAGAACCCAUAUAAAGCCGACCCGGAAAACUCGUUUACAGUUCGCGGAAAAACAGUUUUGUGUGCCGGUACAGGCACGAACAAAGUCAGACCCCACAAAACGGACCCGUAAAAAAGGACAGAAGAUGCUCUUUUACGGAUCGGCUAUGGAGGGUCUGCUCGGGCAUCGCCGUGUCGACCCGCAAACCAAAAACCCUCCAAUAAGCGAAUUUGACAGUGAUUCCAACAAAUGAGUUCAAAUUCAAACAAUAAAACAUAGUUCGCUCACAAAAUGAAAGCAUAGUUUUUAAAGACAAACGCAAAAGGACUUCAUGCAUCCCGGUCGCUCUUCACUCCGCAUCAUCGAGGUCAUCGCUGCCCUCGAAUCCAUCGUCGACACUUGUUCCAACUCCGGUACCAAAAUCAUCGGUGAUAUUGGUUCGGAUUCCCGAUGAGAAAACAUCAAUGCCACUGUAACACGCAAGCAUCCUCCUCUUCAAGAUGUCUCGCCUUGUCAUAUCAUGUCAUUCUUUGUUGAUGUCGUUCAUGUCAUUGCGGUUCAAAGCAAUGAUCAUAUUCUAUUCGGUAAGAAGGUUGGACAUGAUUUUCUUCUCAGCGGCAUGUGCUCUUCUCUCGUGAAUGUCUUUGAGAAAUUUCCAUCUCUCUUGCUUCUCUCGUGCCUUCUUCUCGGCCAACUCUAUCUUUGUCCCCGAAGACUUCACUAGCAUCACCUCAUUUGAUUGCAUCAUGACAUCUAUUUUGUCCCGCAAGCUCGAUGCUUUAUGUCCCCUCUUGAUCUUCUCCUUUGUCUUUUUGUCAUCAUCGGGCUUGUUCAAGUUUCUUGGGCCAUCAUCAUCUUCAUCUUCAUUCAUGUUCGUAAGUGAACCUUUUUCGAUGGGGAUUCUUUGUCCAUUAACUUCCACUUCUCCCAGUCUUUGAUCAUUUUUCAACAAUGCUCUAGUUUAAAAAAAAUACCUUCAGAAGCUUCCAUGUCUUUAUAUCGUUGUUGGGCAUUUUUUUCUACACAAUUAAAGCAAAGUCAAAUGACGCAACCAUUUUUAUAUGAUGCAAAUGGUGUGCAGAACUUGGGACGUGAAAACGAACUCACAUAAUCGGAUUCCAUGGUUUCACUUGAAGGUGCAUUGCAAACUUGUUCCAAGCAAGCUGCCCAACGGUUACAAAUCGGUUUCAUCACAUCCCAACGACCUUGGAGUGACCGAAAGGUCCAUGUUGUCCUAUUGGGAUACUUGGUCAUGAAUUGGAAGUAUUGAUCUUCGAUUCCUUGUCAAUACCUCUUGACAGUUUGAGACACACUCGUGCAAGCAUCCAUAGACACCGUACUUUAAGCCUUGAUCAAGAUUUGAUCUUCCAAAAUCGUGUAGUUCUUCGAUCUCACCCUUUUUUUUUUGCUUGCACUUGCUGAUACGCCCCUCAUCUACCUUCUCCACUUCAUCUUCACCAUCGUGGUCAUCCACGCCACCCUCCAAUUCAUUAUAAUCGAAACCAGCGAUUGGGGCUUGAUCGAUGUCGACGGCGUUGGUCUUUAACAAGUUCACGAACUCGACAGCGACAUUGUUCAAACCACCGCUAUAUUGAGUGACAGCAAGUCAUGACAUACCACAAUAGCAAAAAAGCAAAGUAAGAACAAGGGAGGAAAGAUGCAUACCUUCCAGCCAUUUCAUCGAACACCUCGCUUGCGGUGGAAGCAACACUGUUCGAAGACAUCGUCGGGGAACAUCUUGCCGGGGCGGAGCGAGUGGACGAAGAACAUCUUGCCGGGGCGGAGCGAGUGGACGAAGGCGCCGAUCUUUUAUAGGAACCUUCUUUCGUUUCAUGUUCGAAACCUUAAUCAUCUUCUCCGCCAACGGUCGGUCAGAUCGUGCAGCAACAACGACGCCCGACGCGCGUGCCUUUCCAGCAGGAUUGCCGCCCUGCACGACAAUGAUGUCCUACUGCUUCUAGGCAGGCACGUUGAUGCCUUUGGCGACGGCGGGGCAACGUUGCCCUGCCGCUUGUGGGCAGGCACGUUAGUGCCUUGGGCGACGACGGGGGCGACAUGGCCGGCUACGAGAUUCGUCGGAGGGGAUUGCGCAUGCACGACCUCCACGUUGAUGUUGGGACGGCUCCACGUUGAUGUUGGGACGGCUGGAGGGUUAAAUGACGAUGAAAAUGGUGGGGAAGAUGUUGGGACGACUGGAGGCUUAAAUGACGACGAAAAUGGUGGGGAAGAUGGUCCGGGACGCGUGAUGACGGUACAAUGGCUGCCGAGGAGGGGGAGCGACUGCGUGGAAAUUUUCUUCGCGCCACAAAUUUCGUUGUGAAUAAGGAUAGAGCUUGAAAUCUCGUUGCGGAUAGGGGACAAGGUCAAUUUCGUUGCGAAUAAAGGUAGGUCAAUUUCGUUGCGAAUAAGGGUAGAGCUUAGGUCAAUUUCGUUGCGAAUAAGGGUAGAGCUUGAAAUCUCGUUGCGGAUAGGGGACAAGGUCAUAGCUGGUAAAUCUUCUAGAGGUUAGACGAACUUUUAUCGGGCAUUAUACGGGUCUGCUAGAGAUGCUCUAAUAGCAAAAUCUAAUGGUUAAGAUCGCAUUAUAGCAGAACUGAAGGUGGCCCAAUUUCAGAUGGAUGGGACUUGAGGCAAGAGAACAGUAAGAGCAAGUACAAUAAAGCUGAGUCAGCUGGCUAUAAGGAAUAAAGUAGUAUAUUUUUGCUUAGUUGGAGGAGAGAGAAGAGGAGAGAAAAGGUAAACGGGCUCUUAGCUAAGAGCCAGCUACACGUGCUCCUAAGCACUUUGUGAGAAUGAAAAGUGGAUCAUAUAAUAAAUAAGUAGUACUCUUCUAACCAACUAUUGUACAUGAUAGCUAUAAGAUGGACUAUAUGUGACAUGGAGUGGAUCAUAUAAUAAAUAAGUAGUACUCUUCUAACCAACUAUUGUACAUGAUAGCUAUAAGAUGGGCUAUAUGUGACAUGGCAUGAGCUUACAGUCGGCUCUACUAUUGUAGUUGCUCUAAGAACAAAGGAGGGAUUUAGAAAUGAGAGCGGUAGCACCGAAGCAGCAUAACAGGAAUCGACGAUCAGAGUCUCGAAAUGAGUAGUCCCUUGCAUCUGAAGACGAAGCAGCGCAAGUAGACGCUAGAAGGAACAAGUAGUACAGGCGUUUUCCAUUUUUAUUUUUAAUUUACGUAGUAGAUAAGAUAUGCAACAACUUAUUAUUCGUCGGUGGUACUAGCACCGCCCGCAGGCACGUCCGUACAUAGAGAGGCGUGGAUCCACACUGGUAACCACAUAGGAGGGCAAAUGACCAAAACAUGCCUACGGAGCUCGGGCCUGGUCGAGGCGAUGCUGCGCCCAGUUCUUCACGUCGUGCGCCUUGGAGUCCAGCUUCGCGCCCGCGUGGUCCACCGUGUCAGCCCCCAUCGGCGAGGGCGACCCGUGCGACAGGUACUUGUACAUCCACGCCAGCACCGCCACCGCCGCCGCGCCGAACGCCCCCGACGACACGAACCCAGCCGUCAGCAUCGUCACCGCUAUGGCCGCGGGCACCAGCACGGGGCUGAAGAUCACCAGCAGAGGCGUCGCCACGAUGAGCGCCAGCACCGUGCCCGUCAGCGUCAGGGCCGACAGGAACAGCAUCGACCCGGCGGCCGCCGCCGCGGCCACCCCCUUCGCGAGGGUGACGGCCGCCGGCUGGUUGUGGCCCUGGCCGUGCCCGCCGUAGUAGUCGUCGUCGCCGCGGAUGGCCCGCAUGUAGUCCGGCCCGACGGCGCUGCCGCCUCCGUACACGCCUCCCCGGUGGAACGCUUGCUCUCCAGCCAUGCCGGUAGCCAGAUGCACACUUUAAAAGCUUCGCUACUCCGAAACCUGAGCCUUACCUGAGAAAUGCGAUAACCAAAUGCGCCGUGGGUUUCUCGGCGAGAUGGAUUGUGGUAUAUAAGAUGUGAUGUGAGUGAGAGUGUAGGGCGGCGGUGGAGCGAGUCUCGAACAUGUGGACGCACAGCAGGGUACGUGGUGAUCUGCAUGGAUAGCGAUGCCUCAAGCCUUGCCACGUACGUGCCAACUUGCAGGCUCCCGGCGCACUCUCGUCUUACGUGUUGCGAAUGCAGUACCCUUCCCCGCCGCUGAGCUCGACGAGCAGCCUGCAGGACAUGGUUCCAACAUGACGUCUUUCAUCGACGGCGUGGGCGUUGCCUUGCUGGCCCGCGCGUCUGGAGUUAAGCUGGACGCCGCUUUACACAUUUUCACCUAGAGACACUUCGCCUCUAGACAAUUCUCGAACCUCAAAGUCUGUUUUAACAGGUUUUCACCUAGGUUAGGCAGUUUGGACAUUCAUCUUGUUAGAAUAAUCCGAGGCACUUCGUCGAUCAUCCGAAGAUCAAGCAAACACACAAGUACUACACCGAGAUUUGUUAACGAGGUUCAUCGAUAUGACUACAUUUCCGGAACAUGACUACGGUCGCUCCUCCCUCUGACACCGUCAUAAUACCACAUCCUGGCCGUCCUGGGCGCCGGCAUACGUCGCCGACUCCCCCUGCACACCUGUGUUAUUAUGUUGGCAUAGGUUACAUCGUGUGUCUAGACCCGCUAUAUAUGAGAGGCCUAGGAUACAAGUGUCCUGCUUGGACACGACUCCAUAUCCUAUCUAAACAUAAUACAACUACAAGUCCAACUGUAACCUACCUUGUACAAUAAUAUUCGACACAACUCUAACAAACUCCACCCUGGCGAAUAUUCUCCACCACCUUGAAUUCGUUCAUGCGUCAAUCUUCCAUGUACAUUGGACUUGAGCGUAUCCCAUGAGCACCGCUGCUACUCCAAAGAGUCGAUGUGACUUCACCUGCAACUUGUAGUUCCUUCUUUUCCUGACCAUAGUCAACGCUCGAACGAAAUUAAGCUCCACAUUACUCUAGUUGCGCUCCCAACUUCCAGAGUAUCCAACAUCAUCACAUACCGAUCACUAACCUACGUGAAAGUGAACAACUCAUAUUGGGUGUCGCUCACACAAGAGUUACCUGAACUCAACAUCACUGCUUUUCCUUGACCGCCUGUCUGAAACUUGAAAGAAUUUCGCCAUUGCUUGUAGUCAUCUCGAGUCAAAUUCGCAGUUUGUUUCACCACAUGUAUGACCACCAGAGCCCUAGCCCGUCUCCAUGUCCCGUGUGUACCGUACGCCUCGCCGCUAUUACCAAGUCGAGCCUCCGCUGUCCCGGUCGAGUCUCAAGAGUCGCGAACCCACACCACUCAACCCCCGCUGCAGAGUACCACCGAUCCUCACCGACCGAUGACGAGUAUCACGUUUCCAUCAGACCAGCGAGCUCUAGUCCGAACCACGUGCCACUCGCUUUUCCCCGAGUGAAGUCCUUCAGACUCCAGCUCCACCUUCAACAUGACUCCAUGGUAGAUAAUCAGUCCAUCCCUUGCGCCCCGUCGACUUCAAGCUCACAUGUGCACCCUCUUGAAUCAACCCCGCGCCAUAGUCUUGUCGAAGCCACACAAGCCCUAGAGCAUGCGCCGCGUGUUUCCACGCCCAGAAGUCGGUCACCAUCAGCAUCACGCUCCUAUGUUGUCGUCGCCGAUCCUACCACCGUCUUCUAUACCAACCGACUCGCGUCGACCCGUCAGACUGUCCAGUCCGACCCAGCCGAAAUCGUCCGACUGUCGUGAAUUUCCAUCUAUCACAUGAUAAUUCCAUCUAAGCUGGCUUAACUUCCCGCAACGCCUUCAAGCAUUCCUGUUGCGCCAACAAUCUUUCAUCCAUGUCUGCCAUAACUCAAGGUUUUCAGUUCCAUCGAACUUCUUCACCUCAAACCUGAUGCCUGAUGACGUCAUGAUUCUUUAAACGGGUGACCUUGCGAAAGACGACAUUGGCCUCAACUCGGAUACUAGCAAUUACCUUGUCAACGCCUCCUGCUAAUUCCAAUGGAUACCAACGUGAUGGAUUGUUCUUUCCCAGUACGAUCAGCUACCGCCUCUUUCCAUGUCGUAUACGAGGACACGAUCCUCUCUUUUUCCCCAAACAAAUCUCUGCAGUUUGCACUCUAGACCUUUCACGCAGAGCCUGUCGAGCUCCUUUCGUGCCUGGUCCACUAGCUCAACACAUGCACGCACUAGCUAGCUCCGAAUACACUUCGACCUCAACCGACUGGCCUGCCACGCGUGCCUCCGGAUCGCACACUUGCCAUCGACACGGCAUGCCGCCACACACGCCUGAUCAACUGAUCCGCCGAUCGAUCCGAUCCGCCGAUCGAUUGCCGCACGUCCCUUGCAACGCUGCUUUCCAAUCCCGUCGAGAACUCUGCCAGCUUCUAAUUGCUUCAUGAUGAUUACAACACGACCAAUACAUCUGCUUUGCAUCAAAACUCGCUGUAUUACGAUUGCUUCCUGCAGACUUUCAUCGUGUUUUGUUCCCUCCUCUAGAUCAACCUUUUGCAACCUCUCGUCAACCUAGCUCAUGAUACCACUUGUUAGAAUAAUCCGAGGCACUUCGUCGAUCAUCCGAGGACCAAGAAAACACACGAGCACGAUACCGAGAUUUGUUAACGAGGUUCACCGAUAUGGCUACAUCCCCGGGGCAUGACUACGGGCGCUCCUCUCCGUGACACCAUCACAAUACCACACCCUGGCCGCCGGCACACGCCACCGGCUCCCCCUGCACACCUGUGCUAUUAUGUUGGCAUAGGUUACAUCGAGUGUCUAGACCCGCUAUAUAUGAGAGGCCUAGGAUACAAGUGCCCUGCUUGAGCAUGACUCCAUAUCCUAUCUAAACACAGUACAACUACAAGUCCAACUUUAACAUACCUUGUACAAUAAUAUUCGAGACAGCUCUAACACGUCUAGCCACGUCGGACAUCCGGACAUGCGUAUGCAUAGAUGGAUAUUUAGAGGAUAUUGUUGGAUGAUGUGCUCCUGCUUCAAUGUGUCCGCUUUAUGGGUUAGCGUUGGAGAAGCCCUAAGGUCGCAAGUUAUGUAGACAUGUAUUUUGUCGAAGACAACUUUUCGUCCUAGGCUCAUUUGGCCCAGAUAUCUUAGAGAUUGGAUUAAAAACAAGGCAGUGACGCGACAUGGUCUAAUGGUGGGAGAAGGACUGGGAUUUCCUCACAAUUCAGGUGACUUAGAGUUACUAAAGUCUUGAGUCGCAAAUCCACUGACUCACAUGUGAGUGAAACUUAAUCGUCCGAGUUAGUCAUUUGAACCAAAAAGAGGAUACAUGACUUGCAUACCAUGGCAUGAUGCAUGGCACGUUGUCGGUAUUAAAACCGGCAGAUCUCGAGUAGGGGCUCCGAACUAUUGAUCUUGGAUCGACGGGUUACAAGAGACAAGGGAGACAAUGUUUACCCAGGUUCGGGCCCUCUUGAUGGAUGUAAAACCCUGCGUCCUCCUCUUGUUAUAUUGAUGGGGUUGCACAAAGUACAUAGUUGAUCUACUUCGAGAUCAGAUGUUGUGGUCUACACCCAAACAUUAAUGAGCUUAAUCUUUCCUACGAACUAUGGCCCUCUGAUAUAUACAUACCAGGGGCGUUAAGGUUACACAAUGUUGAUUAAAUCAUGAAAGGAAUAUACCAAUCACUAUGUGUCCUUGGAUUAGACGCCAAGUCUUGGGAAGAGUCCAUCUUGAAUUCAGCAUCACUUAAUGAUGGUAGAACGGUCCAGGAGUCUGACCCAUGGAAAUGAGCAAGCGGCCCGAGGACCCUUUAGUCCCGGACUCCCUCAGUAGACCCCAAACUGGCCCUCCAAUGCCGUAGUCUUGACCUUCAUCUACUUUAUGCUCCCAAAGACUUUGGCUUACGAGGCGAGUUCCUCUCUUCUUACAUUUAGCCGACAAUAGUUCGGUUGCUGAUGACGUACCCUCUUCCACACACACACACACACACACACACACACACGAACACACACACACACACACACAGAUAUAUAUAUAUAUAUAUAUAUAUAUAUAUAUAUAUAUAUAUAAGGCCGAUCGUUCGACCAAUAAUAGUGUUUUUUGCCUCACACCCUUUCUAACGAAAGGUCCCGGCUGGUCAAGGUCUAUGACCUUUAUGGUAGCGUGGUUCGAGACCGUCUUUACUGACACGUUCCAUUAUGGAGAUCAUGUUCCUCUUUUUCAGGGAUAUGGUUUAUGAUUUGGAUUAUCCCACACCCGCAUAACCGCACAAUUUUAUCGGGAAAUGACGAAGUUCACUACGUAGUAGUGGGACUCUUGUUAUCUCAGUUGUUCAUAAAAGGUAAAACCGUCACCAUAGCCUCCUAAUACAUUCCAGAUCUCGCAUAGUUGUUGCCUUUCCCAGCCUCCAAACCUCCAGUGCCCAAGUUCUCUUAUUCGCUCCACUUCCUCGAACCCUAAUUCCAAUCCGGCCAUGGCCAGCUCGGGCUCGAAAGGCAAGUGGAAGGGCUCAUGCGUCACCGAGAAGGAUAUCCACGAACUAAAGAGCUCCAUUUUUCUACCGGAGAACAUAGCCCACCGUGCCCCGAAAAAGGACAAGUCAUCCCCACACCAAAAGACGGGGACAGGGUGGUUUUCGUUCCUCAUUUUUGUCGGGGUCUUGUUUUUUCCCUUCACCCCUUUGUUCAGGGUAUUAUGUAAUAUUAUGGGGUAGACUUCCAUGAUCUUCCGCCAAAUUCCAUUAUGCACAUCUCAGCCUUCAUCGUAGUUUGUGAAGCAUUCCUGCAAUUUCAUCCCCACUUUGGCAUAUGGCCGAAGGUCCUCAACAUCAAGCCCAAAGUCGUUAAUGGCGAAUAGGCUGACUGCACGGGAGCAACAGUUAGCAAACUCGCUCGGAUCCAAUGUGUGGAAGGCACAUUCAUAGACACCAUCAAGGUGUGAUAGAAAGAGUGGUUCUAUAUCAUGGAGCCACGCAACACGGAAGGAGUAGCUUCGCCGGCAUUCAGAUUUGGUCCUCCCAUCGAACUUGUGUCCUGGACAGAGAAAGCCCUAGAUUGGGGGGGGGGGAGGCNNNNNNNNNNNNNNNNNNNNNNNNNNNNNNNNNNNNNNNNNNNNNNNNNNNNNNNNNNNNNNNNNNNNNNNNNNNNNNNNNNNNNNNNNNNNNNNNNNNNNNNNNNNNNNNNNCAAAGAAAAUCUCCGCUAUAAUGGAGAAGAAAAUCGAGCUCACCAACGUGGUCCACGUAAUGCUACACCGCCACCUUCUCCCUUGCCAACAUCGGGCCAUCCCGAUGUGGGCUUAUAAUCCGGACGACCCGACCACUGUGCGGAACUUUUUCCUCAUUACUCACGAGAAGUUGUGGAAAUUGUUGUUCAAGCCACAGUAGACUCGGCCAACUGAAGAAGAGGACGUUGGCAUUUCCGUCCUUAAUCCUACCGGAUCGGUAAGGUUUUUAUCAUAUUAUUAAUUUUCAUCCCUUCCUCUUAGUAAAGUGCUCACUUCUUCCUUCCUCCAUUCUCGCAGAUGUGGCUAAAAAAGUCCCAGCAGGUCACUGAUGACCCACAAGUGUAGGGGAUCUAUCGUAGUCCUUUCGAUAAGUAAGAGUGUCGAAUCCAACGAGGAGCAGAACGAAAGGACAAGUGGUUUUCAGCAAGGUAUUCUCUGCAGGCACUGAAAUUAUCGGUAACAAAUAGUUGUGUGAUAAUAUAAUUCGUAACGGGUAGCAAGUAACAAUAGUAACAAAGGUGCAACCAGAUGGCCCAAUCCCUUUUGUAGCAAGGGCAAGCCUGGACGAACUCUUAUAUAAGGUAAAGCGCUCCCGAGGACACAUGGGAAUUUCUGUCAAGCUAGUUUUCAUCAUGUUCAUAUGAUUUGCGUUCACUACUUUGAUAGUUUGAUAUGUGGGUGGCCCGGUGCUUGGGUGUUGUCCUUACUUGGACAAACAUCCCACUUAUGAUUAACCCCUCUCGCAAGCAUACGCAACUACGAAAGAAGAAUUAAGACAAAGUCUAACCAUAGCAUUAAACUGGGGGAUCCAAANNNNNNNNNNGCCCCUUGCGGAGGAACGCAUAAACUAGGGUUAAGCUUCUGUCACUCUAGCAACCAAUCAUCUACUUAUUACUUCCAAUGCCUUCCUCUAGGCCCAAAUAAUGGUGAAGUGUCAUAUAUUCGACGUUCACAUAACACCACUAGAGGAAAGACAACAUACAACACAUCAAAAUAUCGAACGAAUACCAAAUUUACAUGACUACUUAUAGUAAGACUUAUCCCAUGUCCUUAGGAACAAACGUAACUACUCACAAAGCAUAAUUAUGUUCAUGAUCAGAGAGGUAUUGAAUAGCAUUAAGGAUCUGAACAUAUGAUCUUCCACCGAGUAAACCAACUAGCAUCACCUACAAGGAGUAAUUAACACUACUAGCAACCUUACAAGUACCAAUCGGAGUCGCGAGACGAAGAUUGGGUACAAGAGAUGAACUAGGGUUUUGAGAUGAGAUGGUGCUGAUGAAGAUGUUGAUGGAGAUGAGUCCCCUCUGAUGAGAGGAGUGUUGGUGAUGACGAUGGCGAUGAUUUCCCCCUCCGAUAGGGAAGUUUCCCCGGUAGGACGGCCCUGCCAGAGCUCUAGAUUGGUUCUGGUCAAGUUCUGCCUCGCGGCGGCGGCGUUUCUUCCUGAAAGCUCUCUCUUGAUUUUUUUUCUGGGACAAAACCCUCUAUAUAGCAGAAGAUGGGAGUCGGAGGGGUAACAGGGGGCCCACGAGCGCCGAGGCGCGCCCAGGGGGGUGGGGCGCGCCUGGCAGGCUCGUGACCUCCUCGUGGCUCCACUCCAGUAUUUCUUCCGCCCAAUAUUUUUUAUAUAUUCCAAAAUAAUUCCUCACUGAUUUUCAUGGCUUUUGGAGUUGUGCAGAAUAGGUAUCUCAAACUUGCUCCUUUUUCAGCCCAGAAUUCCAGCUGCCGGCAUUCUCCCUCUUCAUGUAAACCUUAUAAAAUAAGAGAGAAAAGGCAUAAGUAUUGUACCAUAAUGUGUAAUAAUAGCCUAUAAUGCGAUAAAUAUCAAUAUAAAAGCAUGAUGCAAAAUGGACGUAUUAGUCACCUGCCCGGUGCCCUUACCUGAGGACCCCAUGAUGCCUUUAUUGGCAGCCAUGCUAGUCAGGAAGCCAUACACGGCUCCGAAGGAGAAGGACGAGAGGAACAAAGGGAAUAAAAAGGCCUAAGAGGGUCGUCGGUAAAAGGAUCCUUGGACACUAGGUCGUACGAUACGUUGGCUCCCUCUAAUCUUGUAACGCCCAAGAUGCGGUCCUAUCCUUAUUUCGAUGUGAGGGCUUCGAGAUGGAUAGAAACGCAUCUCGUCGUUUCGCAAGAAUGGAUAUCGUUACAACUACAUUCACUGAAAAGAUGAGUAUAAGGAGUUGGCUUAUACUCGCCAUAAGCUACAUGAAGUUCACAUCAGUACAACAACAUAAUCAGUCAUCAUGAAGGAUAAAAGAACGAUGUCCAUUCUUGCUAUCCCAGGCUGCCGCCCUGGAACCCAUCCUAGAUUGAAGAAGAAGAAGAAUUCCAAAUAGCACAACCAUCACGCUCAUGUCAUAAUAUCACUUUACGUGUACCUGCAACUGGUGUUGUAAUAAACUGUGAGCCACAAGGACUCAACAAUCUCAUUUCCAAAGGUAUCAAGACUAGCAAAGCUUAAUGGGUGAGUGCUACUUCUCAAACAACAACGCUAGAAAUUGACACGUUGACGGAGAUUGGGCUUGCAUUGGUUCUUCCCUUGAAGAGGAAAGGGUGAUGCAGCACAGGAGCAAUAAGUAUUUCCCUCAAUUUGAGAACCAAGGUACCGAUCCAGAAGGAGGGUCUCGUCAAGUCCAGAGUACAUGCGCAAACACAAACAAGCUUGCACCCAACGCUUCAAAGGGGUUGUCAAUCCCUUCAAGAUUGUUUGCAAAGUGAGAUCUGAAGGAGGAAACUGCAACGAAGUAAAAAGUUUAAGGCUGAAAAUAUGGUAUGGAGUAGACCCUGGGGGCCAUAGUGUUCACUAGAGGCUUCUCUCAAAAUAGCAAGUAAUACGGUGGGUGAACAAAUUACUGUCGAGCAAUUGAUAGAACCGCGCAAAGUCAUGNNNNNNNNNNUAGCAUAUAGGCAUCACGUCCGAGACAAGUAGACCGAUACUUUCUGCAUCUACUACUAUUACUCCACACAUCAACCGCUAUCCAGCAUGCAUCUAGUGUAUUGAGUUCAUGACGAACAGAGUAACGCUUUAAGCAAGAUGACAUUAUGUAGAGGGAUAAUCUCAAACCAAUGAUGAAAACCCCAUCUUUUUACCCUUGAUGGCAACAACACGAUACGUGCCUUGCUACCCCUUCUGUCACUAGGUGAGGUCACCACACGGUAUGAACCCAAAACCAAGCACUUCUCCCAUUGCAAGAAUCAUAGAUCUAGUUGGCCAGACAAAACCCACAACUCGAAGAGAAUUACAAGGAUAUGAAAUCAUGCAUAAGAGAGAUCAGAAGAAACUCAAAUAAGAUUCAUAGAUAAUCUGAUCAUAAAUCCACAAUUCANNNNNNNNNNNNNNNNNNNNNNNNNNNNNNNNNNNNNNNNNNNNNNNNNNNNNNNNNNNNNNNNNNNNNNNNNNNNNNNNNNNNNNNNNNNNNNNNNNNNAUGCUAGUUGGUUUACUCGGUGGAAGAUCAUAUGUUCAGAUCCUUAAUUCUAUUCAAUAACUCUCUGAUCAUGAACAUAAUUAUUCUUUGUGAGUAGUUACGUUUGUUCGUGAGGACAUGGGAUAAGUCUUACUAUAAGUAGUCAUGUGAAUUUGGUAUUCGUUCGAUAUUUUGAUGUGUUGUAUGUUGUCUUUCCUCUAGUGGUGUUAUGUGAACGUGGACUACAUGACACUUCACCAUUAUUUGGGCCUAUAGGAAGGCAUUGGGAAGUAAUAAGUAGAUGAUGGGUUGCUAGACUGAUAGUAGCUUAAACCCUAGUUUAUGCAUUCCUUCGCAAGGGGUUGAUUUGGAUCCCCCAGUUUAAUGCUAUGGUUAGACUUUGUCUUAAUUCUUAUUUUGUAGUUGCGGAUGCUUGCGAGAGGGGUUAAUCAUAAGUGGGAUGUUUGUCCGAGUAAGGACAACACCCAAGCACCGGUCCACCCACAUAUCAAACUAUCAAAGUAGCGAACGUGAAUCAUAUGAACAUGAUGAAAACUAGCUUGACAGAAAUUCCCAUGUGUCCUCGGGAGCGCUUUACCUUAUAUAAGAGUUCGUCUAGGCUUGUCCCUUGCUACAAAAGGGAUUGGUCCAUCUUGCUGCACCUUUGUUACUAUUGUUACUUGCUACCCGUUAUGAAUUAUCUUAUCACACAACUAUCUGUUACCGAUAAUUUCAGUGCCUGCAGAGAAUACCUUGUUGAAAACCACUUGUCAUUUCCUUCUUCUCCUCGUUGGGUUCGACACUCUUACUUAUCGAAAGGACUACGAUAGAUCCCCUACACUUGUGGGUCAUCAAGACUCUUUUCUGGCGCCGUUUCCGGGGAGUGAAGCGCCUUUGGUGAGUGGAAUUUGGUAAGGAAACAUUUAUAUAGUGUGCUGAAAUUUAUUGUCACUUGUCACUAUGGAAACUAAUCCUUUUAGGGGCUUGUUCGGGGUAUCUUCACCUCGACCGGAAGCACAAAGAAUUGAUCCUCAACCUACUGCACCUACUGAAAAUAUUUAUUAUGAAAUUCCUUCGGGUAUGCUAGAGAAACUGUUGGCUAAUCCUUUUACAGGAGAUGGAACAUCACAUCCCGACUUGCAUCUAAUCUAUGUAGAUGAAGUUUGUGGUUUAUUUAAGUUUGCAGGUUUGCCCGAGGAUGAGGUCAAGAAGAAGGUCUUUCCCUUAUCUUUGAUGGAUAAAGCAUUGACAUGGUAUAAGCUACGUGAUGAUACUGGAUCAUGGAACUAUAACCGAUUGAAAUUGGAAUUUCAUCAAAAGCUUUAUCCUAUGCAUUUGGUACAUCGUGAUCGGAAUUAUAUAUAUAAUUUUUGGCCUCGUGAUAGAGAUAGUAUCGCUCAAGCUUGGGGGAGUCUUAAAUCAAUGUUAUAUUCAUGCCCCAACCAUGAGCUCCCUAGAGAAAUUAUUAUUAUGAACUUUUAUGCUCGGCUUUCUCAUGACAAUCGCACCAUGCUUGACACUUCUUGUACCGGUUCUUUUAUGAAGAGAGAUAUUGAUUUUAAAUGGGAUUUAUUCGAAAGAAUUAAACGAAACUCUGAAGAUUGGGAGUUUGAUGGAGGUAAGGAGUCAGGUAUGAAUCUUAAGUUCGAUUGCGUUAAAUCCUUCGUUGAAACAAAUACAUUUCGUGAUUUUAGCGCUAAACAUGGACUUGACUCUGAGAUAGUAGCUUCUUUAUGUGAAUCAUUUGCUGCUCAUAUACAUCUCCCUAAGGAGAAGUGGUUUAAAUACCAUCCUCCCGUAGAAGUUAAUGUAGUAAAACCCAAUCCAGUUGAAGAGAAAGUUAUUGCUUAUAAUGAUUCUAUUGUUCCUAGUGCUUACAUUGAGAAACCACCUUUCCCUGUUAGAAUAAAGGAUCACGCUAAAGCUUCAACUGUGAUACGUAAGGGAUACAUUAGAACACCCACACACCCUGAGCAAACUAAAGUUGAACCUAGUAUUGCUAUUAUUAAAGAUCUCUUGGCCAAUAAUGUUGAUGGGCAUGUUAUUCAAUUCUGUGAAGCUGCUGCUAGAAUUGCUAAACCUCAUGCUAGAGACAAACAUAAACCUGUUGUUGGCAUGCGUGUUGUUUCUAUUAUGAUAGGAGAUCAUUGUUAUCAUGGUUUAUGUGACAUGGGUGCUAGUGUUAGUGCAAUACCAUAAUCUUUAUAUAAUGAAAUUAAAGAUGAGAUUGCACCUGUUGAGAUGGAAUUUAUUGAUGUUACUAUUAAACUUGCUAAUAGAGAUACUAUCUGCCCUAUGGGAAUUGUUAGAGAUGUUGAAGUCUUGUGUGGUAAAACUAAGUAUCCUACUGAUUUUCUCGUUCUUGCUACCACACAAGAUAGCUUUUGUCCCAUCAUAUUUGGUAGACCUUUUCUUAAUACUGUUAAUGCUCAAAUUGAUUGUGAGAAACAAAUUGUUACUGUUGGCUUUGAAGUUGUGUCACAUGAAUUUAAUUUUUCUAAGUUUGGUAGACAAGCUCAUGAAAAAGAAUUGUCUAGUAAGGAUGAAAUUAUUGCUCUUGCUUCUAUUGUUGUGCCUCCUACUGACCCUUUGGAGCAAUACCGGCUUGAACAUGAAAAUGAUAUGCAUAUGGAUGAAAGGAAUGAGAUAAAUAGAGUUAUCUUUGAACAACGUCCUAUCCUUAAGAAUAAUUUGCCUGUUGAAUUACUUGGAGAUCCACCUCCACCAAAGGGUGAUCCUGUGUUUGAGCUUAGACAAUUACGUGAUACUCUUAAGUAUGCUUAUCUUGACGAAAAAGAGAUAUAUCAUGUUAUUAUUAGUGAUAACCUUUUAGAGCAUGAAGAAAAGAAAUUACUGAAAACUCUGAGGAAGCACCGUGCUGCUAUUGGAUAUACUCUUUAUGAUCUUAAGGGCAUUAGUCCCACUCUAUGCCAGCAUAAAAUUAAAACUGAUCCUGAUUCCAAACCAGUUGUCGAUCAUCAAUGAAGAUUAAAUCUAAGAUGAAAGAGGUGCUAAGAAAAGAAAUACUAAAGCUCCUGGAAGUAGGUAUUAUUUAUCCUGUUGCUCAUAGUGAUUGGGUAAGUUUGGUGCAUUGUGUCCCUAAGAAGGGAGGUAUUACCGUUGUCCCUAAUGAUAAAGAUGAAUUGAUCCCACAAAGAAUUGUUACUGGCUAUGGUAAUUGAUUUUAGGAAAUUAAAUAAAGCUACUAAGAAAGAUCAUUACCCUUUACCUGUUAUUGAUCAAAUGCUAGAAAGAUUGUCUAAGCAUACACACUUUUGCUUUCUAGAUGGUUAUUCUGGUGUCUCCCAAAUACCUGUUGCACAAUCUGAUCAGGAGAAAACCACUUUUACUUGCCCUUUCGGUACCUUUGCUUAUAGACGUAUGCCUUUUGGUUUAUGUAAUGCACCUGCUACCUUUAAAAGAUGUAUGGUGGCUAUAUUCUCUGACUUUUGUGAAAAGAUUGUUGAGGUUUUCAUGGAUGAUUUCUCCGUUUACGGAUCUUCUUUUGAUGAUUGCUUGAGCAACCUUGAUCGAGUUUUGCAGAGAUGUAAAGAUACUAACCUUGUCUUGAAUUGGGAGAAGUGCCACUUUAUGGUUAAUGAAGGCAUUGUCUUAGGACAUAAAAUUUCUGAAAGAGGUAUUGAAGUCAACAAGGCUAAAGUUGAUGCGAUCGAGAAAAUGCCAUGCCCUACAGACAUUAAAGGUAUAAGAAGUUUCCUUGGUCAUGCUGGUUUCUAUAGAAGGUUUAUUAUAGACUUCUCUAUGAUUUCUAGGCCUCUCACCAAUAUCUUGCAAAAAUAUAUUCCAUUUGUUUUUUAUGAUGAUUGUGAAGAAGCAUUUGAAAUACUUAAGAAGGCCUUGAUAACUGCACCUAUUGUUCAACCACCCGAUUGGAACCUACCUUUUGAAAUUAUGUGUGAUGCUGGUGAUUAUGUUGUUGGUGCUGUUCUAGGACAAAGAGUUGAUAAGAAAUUAAAUGUUAUUCAUUAUGCUAGUAAAACUCUAGACAGUGCCCAAAGAAACUAUGCUACUACUGAAAAAGAAUUUUUAGGAGUUGUGUUUCCAUGUGAUAAGUUCAGAUCUUAUAUUGUUGAUUCCAAAGUUACUAUUCACACUGAUCAUGCUGCUAUUAAAUAUCUCAUGGAAAAUAAAGAUGAUAAACCUAGACUUAUUAGAUGGUUUCUCUUGCUACAAGAAUUUGAUUUGCAUAUUGUUGAUAGAAAGGGUGCAGAGAACCCCAUAGCAGAUAAGUUGUCUAGGUUAGAGAAUGUUCUUGAUGACCCACAACCUAUUGAUGAUAGCUUCCCUGAUGAAUAAUUGAAUGUCAUCACCAACACUCCUCUCAUCGGAGGGGACUCUUCUCCAUCAACAUCUUCAUCAGCACCAUCUCAUCUCCAAACCCUAGUUCAUCUCUUGUACCCAAUCUCCGUCUCACGACUCCGAUUGGUACUUGUAAGGUUGCUAGUAGUGUUAAUUACUCCUNNNNNNNNNNNNNNNNNNNNNNNNNNNNNNNNNNNNNNNNNNNNNNNNNNNNNNNNNNNNNNNNNNNNNNNNNNNNNNNNNNNNNNNNNNNNNNNNNNNNCCAUCAUCAUCUACGUUACCGCUCAUUGAGAAGAUCGGGCUACCCCAUAUCAUAAAGUGCAUAAGUAAAGGGUUCGGGUAAGAGAUAACCGAGGUACGCGGAGACGAUGAUGUAUCCCGAAGUUCACACCCUUGCGGAUGCUAAUCUCCGUUGGAGCGGUGUGGAGGCACAAUGCUCCCCAAGAUGCCACUAAGGCCACCGUAAUCUCCUCACGCCCUCACACAAUGCAAGAUGCCGUGAUUCCACUAAGGGACCCUUGAGGGCGGUCACCGAACCCGUACAAAUGGCAAACCUUGGGGGCGGUUACCGAACCCGUACACGUGGCAACCCUUGGGGGCGGUUACCGGUACCCGUACAAAUUGCUCGAGGCUAUCUCCACAACCUAAUUGGAGGCCCCGACGCUUGCCCGGAGCUUCACACCACAAUGAUUGAGCUCCGAGACACCACCAAGCUUCUAGGAUGCCAAAGCAUCCACGAAGAACAAUAUCUAGGGUACUAAGUACCAAAGGUAGUAAGCUUCUCAACCUUCACUUCCACGUAUCACCGUGGAGAACUCAAACCGAUGCAACCAAUGCAAUGGCAAGAACACACGAAGUGGUCAAGUCUCUCACACUCAAAUCCCUCCACAACAACGAAAGCUAUGGAGAAAUAUGAGAGGAAGAACAAGGAGCUCACAAAGAACUCCAAGAUCAAGAUCCAAGGGGUUCCCCUCACAUAGAGGAGAAAGUGAUUGGUGGAGAUGUGGAUCUAGAUCUCCUCUCUCUUUUCCCUCAAGAACAAGCAAGAAUCAUUGGAGGGAUUGAGAGUAAGCAAGCUCUAAGAAUGUCAACAAUGGAGGUAGAACAAGAGCUCAACGAAUGGAUAAGGCCAAGGGGGAAGAAGACCCCCUUUAUAUAGUGGGGGAAGGAAUCAGACCGUUACCCCCACUCUCUGCCCGAGCUCCAGCGGUACUACCGCUGGCACCCCAGCGGUAGUACCGCUGACUACAGCGGUACUACCGCUGGGCCCCUGGUAGUGCAAAGGCACUACCACCGCCAAGAAAGUCUUUGCAAAAAUGUCCGUCCACGAACAACCGCUAGGCAGGCGGUACUAAGCUCCUGGAGCGGUACUACCGCUGACCAGGGGCGGUACUAUCGCCAGCCAGCGGUACUACCGCCAACUCUAACGGUACUACCGCUAGGUCCAGCGGUACUACCGCUCGCCACUGAAACAGCCAUAACUUUCGCAUACGAGCUCCGAAUCGAGCAAACCCAAGCUUGUUGGAUUCAGGACGACAAGAGCUAUCUUAAGACCAUGCAGAUAUGAGUCCUAUAUGAAAAUGCCAAUGAUAUAGAGAUGUGAGUCCUCUAUGAAUGAAGAACCGGCAAAAACUCCAACAUCGAAAACAUCAUAGUAGAUGCAUAUGGACUCCAUUUUCGAUGAACUCGAGCCUGUCACGAAGAUGACCAUAAGCUCUAAAACUCACAAAGAGAAACACCAAACAAGAACCAAGAAGUAUGAUGCAAGGAUGCAAAUGGUUUGAGCUCUCAACGAACGAUACGAUCAAGCUACUCACUUGAGAGCCCCCCUUGAUAGUACAACAAUCUAUCCUAAACAGAAAACCUAUCAAGGGCAAACCUAUACCUUGCACCUCGUCCUCUUGAGCUAGAAGAUGAUGAUCUUGGCUUCCUCAAGAUGGACUACCUUUCUUGAUUGCGUUGGCUUGAUGAAGACUAGUUGAUUGCUCCCCCAUACUCACUAUGGGUGAGCCACUCUUCAGCAUAUCUUCACAAGUCCAUUGCCACCACAAUGGACGGCAAGCUUCAAGCAUGAUAUCUUCGUGCUGAUCCACUUGAAAUUGCACAUCGCAAUCUUGAUGACGAUCACAACUUGACGUCAUACUUCAUGGGUUGUAUGAGAUCUUCCCUUUGACGCAAGCCCAUGGAAACACACCUAACCCCCACAUAGAACUCUCACGAAGACCAUGGGUUAGUACACAAACACGUAAUGGACAAUGCUUACCAUACCAUGGGAUCACUUGAUCCCUCUCGGUACAUCUUGUACGCUUUGUGUGUUGAUCAUCUUGAUUUGCUCUUUGUCUGAGAUCUUGAUCAACCAUGUGUCUCUAUGACCAUUCUAUGGAUAAUACCUUGAAUACCACCUUGGUCAUCAUAUAAACUCCUUGAACCCAACAGAUGGACUUCAAGAAGUGCCUAUGGACAAAUCCUAUAAAUAUAACUUAAGGCAACCAUUAGUCCAUAGGAAUUGUCAUCAAUUACCANNNNNNNNNNNNNNNNNNNNNNNNNNNNNNNNNNNNNNNNNNNNNNNNNNNNNNNNNNNNNNNNNNNNNNNNNNNNNNNNNNNNNNNNNNNNNNNNNNNNNNNNNNNNNNNNNNNNNNNNNNNNNNNNNNNNNNNNNNNNNNNNNNNNNNNNNNNNNNNNNNNNNNNNNNNNNNNNNNNNNNNNNNNNNNNNNNNNNNNNNNNNNNUGGUAAUUGAUGACAACUACUUCAAGAGAGUUUAUAUAAGGAAAUAAGCAUAACCAACCGCACACAUACAAAGCAAUAAUGCAUGCGUGCAAGAUGUAAAUGCUUACGCAAUAAAAGCAAACCCCUCUAAACAUAUCCAAAGUAAACUCUCUAAACUUCUCCCCCAUUGGCAUCGAUUGCCAAAAUGGACGAAAAGUUUAGAAAGCCAAUAUAUUUGGUGGUCCUCAAAAAAGUGUGUACUUCUCAGCAAAUGAGUGCCAAGAAAUACACAAAUACAAUGAUAAGUAGUUGGAGGAAAACAAACUAUAUUGAGGACCCAAAGAUUGCAAAUAAAAGAAUCGUAUGCCACAAGGACAUACCACAAUAGAGGCAAGCAAUCAAAAGAUACCGGAUGGGACAAACAAUCAUAUGGUCCUUCGAACCACAUGAAUAAAAGAUAUUAUGAUAAAAGCAACGGAGUGUUUUAUCAAAACUAGAGAAGCUCCCCAUGAUUUGUGCACUAAUAGGAGAUUUUUGUAUAUGAUACAAGUGCACAAAAUAGGAUCGUUGCUCCCCCAAAAUUAAUAAAAACACACAAUGGGUGCAAGAAGAAAGAUGAGACAAUAAGCAAAUCUCUUGCACAAAACAAGUGUUUGAGCAACAUGUAAAAGAAGCAACUUAAGAUUAGGCUCAACCAAAAUAAUGUGUGUGAGUCAUGGCAAGGCACUUGAGAAGACUAAGAUAAGGAUGAACAUUACUCAUCAACAUAGUCUUGAUGAAAUGAGACACAAAGUGCAAGACAUAUCAUUCCCACACACACAUACUAGAAAAUGGGUUCACAAGCUUACUAAUAAACAAAAUAAGAACCAACGCUUGUGACAACCCAUGGUGAAGAAAGGAAAUAAGAGCCUUGUCAAGAGAGGAGGGAUACCAAUCGAAAUGGCAAAACCCUCAUCAAGACAGGCAUGAGGAAAAAUAAUCUUCACGGCCAAAGAGUGCAUCAAGAUGUAGGAAAAUAAGAUACACACUCAAGACAAAUCCUUUCACGAAGCCACCAAAAACUGAAAAAGGAAAUGCAACGGUGGACGUAAAAGAAAAGAGGAUAUAAAUUAGAGAUGUAACUUCUCUCAUGUGUAAAAGAUUCUAAGUAGAAGACAAUCAUGAUGAUAUAUAUCCACAAAGAAGAAUGUACACACAAAAUGGUUACAAGAAGGAACAAACUAGAUAUCCAAAAGGAAGUCAUAAAUAUAUCAAUAAGAUCUUUUGCUUGGAAGCCCUUUGUAAGAGAUGAGUUCUCGUUCGAAACCCUGAUACUUCAAGAGAGAUUGUCCGUUNNNNNNNNNNNNNNNNNNNNNNNNNNNNNNNNNNNNNNNNNNNNNNNNNNNNNNNNNNNNNNNNNNNNNNNNNNNNNNNNNNNNNNNNNNNNNNNNNNNNNNNNNNNNNNNNNNNNNNNNNNNNNNNNNNNNNNNNNNNNNNNNNNNNNNNNNNNNNNNNNNNNNNNNNNNNNNNNNNNNNNNNNNNNNNNNNNNNNNNNNNNNNNNNNNNNNNNNNNNNNNNNNNNNNNNNNNNNNNNNNNNNNNNNNNNNNNNNNNNNNNNNNCAACUUUCAACAUUUUUAGAGUUCAUUUGUAGUGCUUUUCAAUUUCAGGGUCAACUAGCUCAAAAAAAUAAGUAAAUGCACGAAAUAUACCAAAUGAAGUCACAAAUUGUUGAAAUUUUGUGACGUGCCUUUGAAUGGUGCAUUUUGAACACACAAAAAGUAUGGAGUUCAAAUAAGUUCAAAAAAAUGAAAUCCCUUUGUAAGAGAUGAGUUCUCGUUCGAAACCCUGAUACUUCGAGAGAGAUUGUCCGUUNNNNNNNNNNNNNNNNNNNNNNNNNNNNNNNNNNNNNNNNNNNNNNNNNNNNNNNNNNNNNNNNNNNNNNNNNNNNNNNNNNNNNNNNNNNNNNNNNNNNNNNNNNNNNNNNNNNNNNNNNNNNNNNNNNNNNNNNNNNNNNNNNNNNNNNNNNNNNNNNNNNNNNNNNNNNNNNNNNNNNNNNNNNNNNNNNNNNNNNNNNNNNNNNNNNNNNNNNNNNNNNNNNNNNNNNNNNNNNNNNNNNNNNNNNNNNNNCAACUUUCAACAUUUUGAGAGUUCAUUUGUAGUGCUUUUCAAUUUCAGGGUCAACUAGCUCAAAAAAAAGUAAAUGCACGAAAUAUACCAAAUGAAGUCAGAAAUUGUUGAAAUUUUGUGAUGUGCCUUUGAAUGGUGCAUUUUGAACACACAAAAAGUAUGGAGUUCAAAUAAGUUCAAAAAACCAUAUUAUGAAAUUAAAUAUUAUCAUUGACGAUUCAUCUCUAUUAUGAAAUUAAAUAUAUCAAAAAACCAUUGCAGAACAUAUGACCAAAUUAAUACAAGUUCAUCAUCACAUUAAAGCCAAAGAACAGUAGUGAUGUUAUUAUUGCAAAAAAUAAAUACAUAAAGUUCUCUCAUAAAACAACAUACAACUAUGUAAAACAUUUAAAUGCAACAACAAACGCGAUCAAAAUCGCAACUAAGGUAACAAUUGACCCAACAACAUAAUGAUACCAAGCCUCUUUAUCAAUGGCAUAUUUUCUAAUAUUCCUAAUCUUCAAGCGCAUUUCAUCCAUCUUCAAGCGCAUUGCAUCCAUCUUCAACCGCAUCGCAUCGAUCUUCAUCUUGCGAUCAUCGAUGACACCGACAACAUGCAACUCCAGUUCCAUAUUCUUAUCCUCAAUUAUUUUCAAUUUUUUCUUCAAGUAUUUGUUUUCUUUUUCAACCAAAUUUAACUUCUCGACGAGAAUUUUUAUGUGGGUUGGAAUUUACGGUUCACAUACCUCCUAGAUUAAAAAAUAUAUGUCACGUUGGUCGUCAUAAUUGUCAUAAACACUAAAUAAAACAAAUAGUUAUAAAACAUAAUAUAUACCACAUCCGAAUCAUAGACAGGACGAGGGCCGACGGAGGCGGAUACCAAAACCAUCGCACUAUAUAAUAACAAAAAGUAAUGAAAGUGAGUAAUUUAUACAAGUAUGUAUCUAAAUCAUACAAGUAAGAUUUUUUUUCUUUUAAAAAGAAGAUAAGAACAAGAGGCUCACCACGGUGGUGCUCGCGACGAGAUCGGCACGAGGCGAUCGACAAUGGUGAGGACGGACACGGGACGACACCCUACGCAUGUGCAGACUCUAAGAAGUUAAUUUGAGCAUUUGAAAUGAGCUACACUAGCAGUGACAAAUGAAAGGAUGAAGUAGCUAACCUUUUAAAACACUUGUGCAGUUGGUGCAUGGCCAAACCUAGACAAAUAUUAAGGAAAAUGGAGCUUGGAGGUCGAGCUUGGAGAGGAGAAAGCUUAAGUAGAGUGGCUCGGGCAUUUCAUCGAACACGUCAUGUGCAUGAACUAGAGUGGCAAGAGCAUGGCAUGGUCACACUUCAACAACCAAAAAACAGGGGAUAUGGUGGGCAGGGGCGAGGGUUUAUAUAGGCAACACUCUAGUCCCGGCUUUUGUCUAAAACCGGGACUAAUAGCCUAACCUUUAGUCCCGGUUCUUUCCAUGCCCCGGGACUAAAGGCCCCUGCUUCCCGCCUUCUGGUCUGCCGAAAAAGGGCCUUUAGUCCCGGGUGGAGCCACGACCCGGGACUAAAGGGGGUCUUUAGUCCCGGUUCGAGCCACGCACCGGGACUAAAGAUCCACCUGUAUAAGCGGGAGUUGGAAAAUUUCCAACCCAAAUCGUCCAUUUCUCUUCUUCUUCCUCUCGUUCUCCUGCCCGGCGCGGCACAACGACGAACUCGACGACGCCGUCAGGCUGCCCGCCGUCCUGCUCGCCGCCGCCUGCCGUCCUCCUCACCUUCGCCGUCGUCCUGCUCGCCGUCGUCGUCAUCCUCGCCGCGUGCAGCCCUCCUCGCCGUGCGCCGCCGUCCUCCUCGCCGCGCGCCGUCGACACCUCCGGCCGGUAAGCCCCCCGCCCCCUCCUCCCCAACACUCCGGCCAGUAGAAGAAAAGAAUAAAAAGGAGAAGAAAAUAAGAAAAAGGAGAAGANNNNNNNNNNNNNNNNNNNNNNNNNNNNNNNNNNNNNNNNNNNNNNNNNNNNNNNNNNNNNNNNNNNNNNNNNNNNNNNNNNNNNNNNNNNNNNNNNNNNNNNNNNNNNNNNNNNNNNNNNNNNNNNNNNNNNNNNNNNNNNNNNNNNNNNNNNNNNNNNNNNNNNNNNNNNNNNNNNNNNNNNNNNNNNNNNNNNNNNNNNNNNNNNNNNNNNNNNNNNNNNNNNNNNAAAGGAAGAAAAAGGGAAGGAGAAGAAAAGAAGAAAAAGGAGAAGAAAAGAAGAAAAGGGGAAGAAAGGAAGAAAAAGGAGAAGAAACGAAGAAAAAGGAGAACAAAGGAAGAAAAAGGGAAGAAAAGAAGAAAAAUAUUUUUUUUGUCAUUUAAUUCCUAUUGUUAUUAGGUUUGUUCUAGAUUAUUAGGGUUAGUAAUAUGUAGAAUUAGGAAAAAGGAAAAUAAAAAGAGGAGGAGAAGAAAAGAAGAAAAAGGAGAAUAAGAAGAGGAGGAGAGGAGAAGAAGAGGAAAAAUAGAAGAAGAGGAGAAGUAUAGAAGAAGAGAAAAAAUUAGAAGAGGAGGAGAGGAGAAGUAGAAGAAGAGAAGAGGAGAAGUAGUAGAAGAAGAGGAGAAGUAGAAGUAGAAGAAGAAGUAGAAGAAGAGGAGAAAUAGAAGAAGAGGAAAACUUAGUUUAGGGUUACAAGAAGAAGAAAUAUUUUUUUUGUCAUUUAAUUUUGCUAUUGUAUAGUGUAUAUGCUUAAGUGUUAAUAGUGUUUCUUAGAUUAUUGCUUAAUUUUGCUAUUGUAUAUGCUUAAGUGUUAAUAGUUUAAUUUUGCUAUUGUAUAUGCUUAAGUGUUAAUAGUUUAUUUUUAGCAAGAAAAUUAAUAGAACUAGUUUAAUUUUGCUAUUGUAUAUGCUUAAGUGUCCGGGACUGGGCUCCGCCCGACUGGUAUUUUAGAGUUUAGGUUCUAGCCAAGACCCGGGACUAAAGGUCCUCCUAUAUAAAACGACACUUUGAAGUUUCCAACCCUUCUUAUAUAGUUUGCUAGUUUAUUAGUUAAUCAAAUGUCCGUUUUUUGCAGAACUAUGGAUCCACAUAUCAGGAACCUCGAAGAGGAAGAACUUCUCGAAGAUAUAAUCAAAGACGGCCCCGACGUUGAACCAGCUGAAUCUCCGUCGUCAUAUCUAAACGCCUACCGAUAUGGAAUGGAGGUCGAGCGACACGAAGAUGAAGCCGAUGGGCAGGAGAUAGGUCCAAUGACGGAGAAGGUGAUAGCUCCACUGAUGGAGAAGCCGGUGGAGAAGCCGGUGAAGAAAUAAUAAAGUCCGGCGAGGUAUACAUAUGAUGUUCGACAAUCACUUGUAAUAUGUGAAAAAUAUUGGAGAUAGCUCUAUAUUGUAUACAUAUACAUUCACUUGACGAAUGUUUCUCCCUCUUAGGCCUCCACAUAGAGCAAAGCUACGAAACGAGGCCCGACUAGAAAGUUGGAUGCACGGACGCAUUACACCUUUGAGGUGAUAUUGCCUACGGGCGAACCCAAGCUUCCUAAGAAUGCUGCUGACACAUUCAAGAAGCAAUGCGGAGUUCUCGUUAGGGAUCACGUCCCGAUCAGCGUUCGGGAGUGGAACAAGCGCAAAGGGGCAGCCGAUAGUGACUAUGUCGCCGAAAGGUACAAAGAUAAUCUUUGGAAUGAUCUCAUGUCACAUUUCAACCUGCCAGAAUGUGAGAAUGAAGACGCCUCAGACAAACUGAGGGCCAAAGUCAAGAAGUGGACUCUAAAGAAGAUGGCCGAACUGUUCCAUAGCUGGAAGAAAAAGCUAUGGAAAAACUAUCUGAAGACAAAGAAAGUGCGAGUAUUCGAGGGGUAUCUAGCCAAGGAGGCGAAUCACUGGAAGGCAUUUCAAGAGUACAAGGAGUCAGAAGAUGCCCAGACAUUAUGAGAAAAGAACAAGAUAAAUGCCGACAAGAAGAAAUAUCACCACAAGCUGGGGCCAGGGGGCUAUGAGACUGCCAUCCCAAAGUGGGAUAAGAAAGAGCAAGAUCUGCUAGAUAAAGGCAUCGUACCUGAACCACUCCGUGAUGAGUGGGAAUUGAGAGCAAGAAAUUGGUUCCUUGCGCAUGGUGGUUCGUACGACGAAGAAACAGGGGACCUCAUCUGCAGUGACGGUCUUAGGAUACCCAGGGAUAAUUGGAAAAGGAUAGUGAAAGAAAUUAAGGAGGGAAAAAGAAAGUUCACUGCAGAUAGAGAUAAAGAUUUGCUCACACUGGUCCUCGGCAAUGGCGAACAUGGAGGACGAACGCGAGGCUUCGGUCCUUCUUACCCGUGGUGGCUUGGGUUUGCCAGAGACCAAGACACUUACAGAAGCCGAAAGAGAGCAAAGAAGCGGCAGCAGGAUGAGGAGAAUGACAAGUUCAACCAGUUCCUUGCCAGGAUUAACGAGCAACAGAAGCAGAUUGAUGAGCUUAGAGGAGUAUCGCGCCAGGAAGAUCCUGCACUUGAUAUUACGGGCACCCCAUCUAAGCGGAAAAGCAGCGUGGCUGAAUCUGAGGCCCCGCCCGACGAUGCACGAAGAAUGAUAGAGGGCGGUCCCGGCUACCCCGUGGAUGGAAUCAAGGAGUCAACAUCAUGUGAACUCCAUAAUAAAUUCAAGAACAUAUCCAUGAAGGUGGCCAUCGGACAAGCUUUACCUUCUGGCCCUGAUGCACGCUGGCAUGGCCGUGAGAUUCGAGCUGGCUUUGCUAAAGUCGGGGUGGAUGAAAUCCUGACGGGGUUUCAUGAUAUGGAGCUCGACAUAGCUGGACCCGAAGAUGAGAGGACACUCGGAGAAGUACUGGGUGGAUUCAUCCUAUGGGACAAGAAGUACAUCAAGCUUCCAGGCUCGGCCCCAAGGACAACACCGCCUCCGAGUCGUCGCAGGUCACCUACACCUCCAUUACCUCCAAGCCCUCCACAUGACGUCGGCCAGCACAACACGAGUCCAUCUCGAUCACCGCCGCCGGACUUGGGUCGUCCGUCUCCGCCGCCGCCCGCUCCGGAUACUAAGCGGGAGUGUGCCACCAAGAACGCUCCGCCGAUGAUUCCUAAGCGACGGAGCCCCCCAAAGCGCAAACGGUCGCCCCUCCCAAAGGUACGUCAUGCUAAUCUUCCUACUAGACCUUAUGAUCGUACCCCCGAGGAAAACGCCAGGAUAGCAAAGGAACAUCAUGAUGCGCAGAUGAAAAAGAAGGAACCCGAGCCCCGCCCGGAAUACACCGAGAAGCAAAUAGCAUUUGCAAAAUACUUCACGACCCUUCCAUCACAGUAUGACUUACACCAUAAGCCUGAUGACUAUACACGCACAUUGCAGAAGGAAGUGAAAAAGAGCAGAUCACGUGCAAGUGCAAGUGGGGGCAAAUCAAGUUCAACUACAAGCAAGAAAAAAUCAGACGUUCCUCAGCUUGGGCAACAGGCCAAACAGUCGAUCCCACCCCUCAAGGUGUUAACCGAGAAUGUUCCCCCUCCGGUGCAGGGGCAAGCUUUUGAAAUAGCAAAGGAGUGGGCGGCUGAAUGUGGUGUCUCGGUUGAAGUUUUGCUGGCUUCCCAAGACGACAGGAUACCCAAGGCUGUGGUAGCCCCUAAGCCACAGUUUGUCAUGGGAGAGCCUUUGGUCAGCAAAGAUGAUCUCCCAACAAAUAUGCGUUACUUGCAUCAAUGGUACUUAAGUGAAUCAAAGAAUGGGAGAACGAUGAUCGUGCUGAGUGUCCCACGGGAGUACUACGGCCGCCCCGAACAAAUCCAUAUCGACUUUGAUGAACUCUUCCAGAUGUACAAUGGCGACGCCCUCAACAAAUCGCUUAUGAGUUACUAUUGUCUGUAAGUUUUUCAAUUCGUUGUCUACAUAUAACUUGUUUAGUUAUUUCAAUUCAUUGUCUAUAUAUAACUUGUACUCUAUUAUGCAGAAUGAAGAUUCUGGAUUGUAAAAGUAAGAACAUCCUAAAUAUUGGAUUUAGAUAAAAUACAUAUAGUGACGCUAACUGAUAAACCCAAGGAGACGGAGGAAAACCUUCUAAGGUUUCUAACAGAUCAAAAUUUCUGUUACCACAUAAUGUUUCCAUACAACUUCAGGUGAGGGUCUUUACUCUGUUGUGUCCAUUCACUUAUAAGUGUAAUUGAUAAGUUACUGACACAUAUAUAUAUAUAUACAUGUGCAGCUUCCAUUGGAUUCUGUUGGACAUUCAAAUUGAUAAGGGAAGAGUUGAUGCCUUCGACCCAUUAUCGAGACCCUUGGAACAGUUCCAAAGCCUGCAGGACAUGCUCCAAGGGUAAUUUCAAUCAUUCUUGCGCUCUAUCGGUCUCUUUCGAUGAUUUUCUGAUAUAUCAAUUAAUGAAAAACUUAGCAAAUCAUUAUCCUUGUCGGGCAGGGCUUGGAAGCGGUUCAAGUGCGUGACUCCCGGUAACUUUCCUGAGAAGCUGACCUUUAGAGCGGCUCAGGUAAGUAGUAGUAUGAUAUACUUCUAUUUUCAAUACAUUUAUGAUGCUAGAUUAUUAUUUUGAUUAUAUAUAUUCUAUUCUUGUAAAGUGCGACCAGCAGCCACGGGGAACGCAUCUAUGCGGAUACUAUGUUUGUGAGACCAUUCGCACGUUUACCUAUGAGCACAAGGAUCACAGAUUCGACGUAAGCAAUGAACAUUCACACCUCUAUUUUUACCCGUCAUUCUUUGUUAUCAUGAUUGAUAUUCAUAUUCAUCUCCUCUUCUUAUAUAGUACACGGCCAUGACGACGAAGGUCCUACUAGAGCAACGCGCGAUUGCUGCUGCAGAGGAGCUUGCGACCUUUCUGAGGACGGAAGCUAUAGAUGACAAAGGAGGAUUUAGUGUAGCUAGGGGCCAUUACUGAUGUUCGUCCAUGUAAUCGAAUAGACGGCCUCUAGUCCCGAUAAUUCAGAUCUCCAUAUAAUUGUAUAUAUAUGCUCGCUUGUAAGAUAAGUUAAUCUUAUAUAUAUAUAUAUAUGCAUAAUUAUUUCUAUUUAAAUUAUAUGAAAACUAAUUCCCGAACACCAAAUAAGGCAUCACGUUAAUCUCCCGAACACCUAAACCCUAAAACCCUAAAAUCCAAAAAUAAUUUCAUUCAAAAAAAAAUCCAAAAAUGAACAAAAUCUGAAACUCUUGAGUCCCGAUCCGUGUAACGAACCGGGACUAAAGGGCCUGCCCCUCGGGCGCUACGAGACGCCCACGUGGAGCACCUUUAAUCCCGGCUUGUAACAGGGCCGGGACUAAAGGUUAGGCCUUUAGUCCCGCCCCUUUAGUUCCGGUUGGUGAACCGGGACUAAAGCCCCUUACGAACCGGGGCUAAAGGCCCCGUCCCCACUAGUGAAUGGAAUAGUCCAAGUAAGCAUGCUCCUCCUGAAACCAUGCGUACAUACGCGAGCCACUCACGGCCUCACGGCUUCUCCUUCUGGAUAUGGGCGUAGAUUAACCAUGUGUUGACUGGACUAGCUAUAUAUGAAAAUCCAAAUGACAGACUCGAUCGAGUUGCUUCAUGCAUGUCUUGUUCGUGGAAUUCUUUGCCAGUGCAAUAAAAUUCCUUGCCAUGGUGCUAGACUUUCCAGGCAAACUGCAGAAAUUGCUCGUACAAAUCCACUAUAAAACCCCCUCUAAACUGAAGCUAUACGUACAAAAGCAUAGCCAGCUAGCUACGGCCUACACAUACGCAGGCACAAAGAAAUCAUUUAGACACCAAACCCAGAAUGGAGACGCCCAAGCUGGCCAUUUUGCUCGCCCUAGCCAUGGCAGCCGCCAUGGUUAAUCUUUCCCAAGCGCAAAACUCACCUCAGGACUACCUUUCACCCCACAACGCCGCCCGCGCUGCCGUCGGCGUGGGCGCAGUGAGCUGGAGCACGAAGCUGCAGGCGUACGCCCAGAGCUACGCCAACCAGAGGAUCGGCGACUGCAAGCUCCAGCACUCCGGCGGGCCCUACGGGGAGAACAUCUUCUGGGGGUCGGCCGGCGCGGACUGGAAGGCGGCGGACGCGGUGAAGCUGUGGGUGGACGAGAAGAAGGAUUACGACUACGGGUCCAACACCUGUGCAGGGGGGAAGGUGUGCGGGCACUACACGCAGGUGGUGUGGCGCGCGUCGACCAGCAUCGGCUGCGCUCGCGUCGUCUGCAACAACAACGGCGGCGUCUUCAUCACCUGCAACUACGAGCCCGCCGGGAAUGUUGUUGGACAGAAACCAUACUAAACUGUGAUUGCUUUUCGCAGUACAUAUAUUCAUGCACGCUCGUAUCUAUAAUUAGCUAGAGGGGCUGGGCGAGUAAAUAAAAGGAAUGCUGUAAUAAGCUAUGUAUUCUCCUCUCCAUCAUGGACUGUAAUAAAUAAUGAGCUUUUUUACUGUACCCUAAAAUUCAUAUGAACCUUUCAUUACAGUUAAUCUAAUCUUAAAGAUGAUUGUGAUGAUAUAUUGAAUAAUACUCCAGCACAAGUAAAUAGGAGGAUAUACCCCCUAAAAAUCCAAGGAGAGUACCAAGUGUUUAGCUAAGCGUAUUGAUGGAGUUAUAGUCCGAGGGUAGGGUCAUAGGUCUGCCCUAUAGGUCCUACUCAAGGACUACCCUUCAUAGAGGGCAAGGCCCUUAGACAGUUCCAACUGAACUAAGGACGUCCCCAUCAUCCAGUCGGCGACGAUCCACUCGGAGCAUAUCUAACGUACCGACUGGAAUCCACUCUGUAACGUCGUAACCUCCNNNNNNNNNNNNNNNNNNNNNNNNNNNNNNNNNNNNNNNNNNNNNNNNNNNNNNNNNNNNNNNNNNNNNNNNNNNNNNNNNNNNNNNNNNNNNNNNNNNNNNNNNNNNNNNNNNNNNNNNNNNNNNNNNNNNNNNNNNNNNNNNNNNNNNNNNNNNNNNNNNNNNNNNNNNNNNNNNNNNNNNNNNNNNNNNNNNNNNNNNNNNNNNNNNNNNNNNNNNNNNNNNNNNNNNNNNNCACUACUCCACCCCUGUCCACCGGACCAUUAUGAAGGGCAGCACACUCUAUAUAAGCCGUCCUUCACCACUGGUACAGGGGUUGGCACUUGCUGUAAUCCCUUUAUUCACUCGACACAAAGCUCCCAAGAGCACUGAGACGUAGGGCUUUUACCUCCACCGUAGAGGGGUCUGAACUCAUACAUCCUCGCCGUAGCUAAGGCUUUGCCCAUAUACUUUCGUACCUCGUACUUCUACUGUCAGACUUAUACCCACGACAGUUGGCGCCCACCGUGGGGCAGGCGUCUAAGCGACUUCCGGCGAGUUUGCGAUUUCAUCUUUUCGUCAUGUCAUCCGGCGGAGAUCUGUGCAUGGGUCAUGAGAUCCUCUUCGGUGCACUCUCCUUCGUCGCCGAUGAUUCGGCAUGGCUUCAGGAUGCGCCCCUCGACAUCGAGACGCUUCCUAGUCGCGGGGCUACGCACUUCCGUGCCAGUUCCUGCGGCGUUCUCCUUCUCCAGCCAUCGACCCCGGUGUCGAUCUUCGCCCCCGUCACGCGCCGCAACAAGCGAUCCGGUCGUUCGCGGCUCCAGCGUUGGGUGCGACACGCCCUAGCGCGACAAAACAUGUCCUCUCAAGUGGCAGUGCUCGAAUCGGUUGUGGUCCCGCGGUCAUCCCACUGCUUGGAGUCAGUUCCGACUGAACUACCUUCCGAGUAUCAGGGUCACGGGCCUGCAGCCGAAGUACUCAUGGCCAAUUCCCACGAAAGUCCCUUUAAGACUGGUCGGAACGAGCGUGAGAUCGGAGAAUCAUCCGACGCUCGUUGUCAGCACCCUCGUUCUUCCAGUCGACGCACUCGCCAGAGCAACAUCGAGGUGUUCCGCACACCCAUCCUCAACUUGGCUGCAGCUGCCAGGAUAGCUGAUUCUCUCCAGCCGACUGAUUCGGAGGCUGGUAGAGGAAUCGAGUAGAUUCGUGCCUUGUUACAUACGACGCAGCAGCAAAACUCGGCGGUCUCCCAGUCGCACAACAAGAUCCACAACAGUUCUGUUCAAGCGAACACACAUCGGUCGGUUUUCAGUCCCGACUCUCACCGGCGAUGCAGAGGGGGCAUCCGUUCCAGGGACCCGAGUCGGAAUCCGCUUUCCAUUCGGUCCCAUCCUGAAGAUCGUCGCCGUUCGUGUACUCCUCCGCGGAGUGGGCCUUACGGACCCCGGUAUUACGAUGAUCAUCGUUCGGGCGGUGGCGCGCAUGAUCAAAGGCCUGAUGCAAGAGGCUAUAUCACUCAGAAGAAGGUUGAUAGAAGCCGAGCCCACCGUGAUGGUCACGAUAGAGAUCAUCCGAGUGGAAGCAGGACCGUUGUUUCUUGUCCCGAGUGCUUCAGUCGGGCCAUUCGCUCGGCUGACAUCCCUCCCAACUUCCGAUUGGCGACGGGAAUCAGCAAAUUCAUAGAAGAUUCCAAACCAGAAACUUGGUUAGACGACUACAGAGUGGCGGUCUAGAUCGGUGGCGGAGAUGACCAUGUCGCCAUGAAACAUCUCCCACUGAUGCUUGACGGUUCGGCUCGAGCUUGGCUAAACCAGUUAGCUCCAUCAAGCAUUUACAGUUGGGCAGAUCUGUCCCGAGUCUUCAUCAGGACCUUCGAGGGUACGUGCAAACGCCCUGCUGGUCUCAUAGAGCUUCAAGACCGUGUCCAGAAGCAAAACGAGCCCUUGCGCGAUUUCAUCCAGCACUGGACAACCCUCUACCACACGGUGGAGAAUGUUACAGAGCACCAAGCAGUCUGCGCCUUCGAGGCAGGCGUUCGGUACCGAGAUCUAUACCUGAAGUUUGGUCGGACAGGCGACAUCUCCAUGAGCAAGAUGAUGGAGAUAGCCGCGCGCUAUGCAAAUGGCGAAGAGGAGGACCGCAUACGUAGCGGCAAGCAUAAGUCAGUCACCGACGGAGAUGGGAACAGCAGUCGGAAGCAGAAACAGAAAGCUCAAUCCACUCCGCAAGCAGAGGUGGCAGUCGUUACAAACGCUAAGUUCAAAGGCAAGGGGAAAGCACAGUACACCCCCAAGAAGAAACAGUCAGGAAAUUCCAUCCUAGAUCAACCGUGUCCCAUCCACACGAAGACGGAUGAAGAAGGCAAUGUCAUAUUGCCGAAACAUACCACUCGGCAGUGUCGCCUCCUGAUCCAAGGAUUUGGUGAAGGACAGUCGAGUGAGAAAGACACCGAGAAAGAUGAUGAGGACAAGGAGGAUCCGUUCCCUCAAGUCCAUGCAACGUUAAUGAUUUUUGCUGAUGUAGAAAGCAAAAGUCGACUGAAGCUGGUCAACAGGGAGGUAAACAUGGCAACCCCAUCCACUCCCACGUUCCUCAAGUGGUCACAGACUGCAAUCACUUUUGAUCAGUCAGACCACCCAGCACACGUACCCACCCGAGGGAGGCAAGCUCUGGUCGUCGACCCGAUGGUGGAAGGAGUUAGGCUGCGCAAAGUCCUCAUGGACGGCGGCAGCGGCUUGAAUAUCAUGUAUGCCGACACUCUCAAGGGAAUGGGCAUUCCGAUGUCCAGACUUAGCAAGAGCAGUAUGCAAUUCCAUGGAGUCGUCCUUGGAAGAAAGGCUAAAUCACUCGGUCAGAUUGCGUUGGAUGUCGUUUUCGGCUCUCACAAGAAUUUCCGCAAAGAGAAGUUAACAUUCGAGGUGGUAGACUUCCAGAGUGCAUACCAUGCCAUUCUGGGCCGUCGGGCAUACGUACGUUUCAUGGCCCGUCCAUGUUACGUAUAUUUGAAGCUGAAGAUGCCUGGUCUCAAAGGCGUGAUAACUGUCACACGCAAUCGGCAGCGGGCCGAGGAGUGUCUGCAGCAGGGUCGAGAAUUGCAGACCAUCAGAUGGUUGUGCUCGAGUUGGAUGAGUACAAGAAGAUUGCCGACCCCGCCGACCUGAUGCGUUCAAAGAAGCCAGCUUCCGAGUCCGCAUUCCAGUCGGCGGGAGACACGAAGAAAGUAAGCAUCCACCCGACGGAUGCCACCACCGCCCCAACAAACAUCUCCACCACCCUUGAUGCAAAAUAGGAAGCCGAGCUCAUCCAAUUACUCCGUGAGAACUGGGACAUUUUUGCAUGGAAGCCUGUUGACAUGCCAGGUGUACCGAGGGAGUUGGCUGAGCACCGACUGCAUGUGGACCCUGCCGCUCGGCCCGUCCAAGAACGCCUGCGUCGGUCCGCCGCGCACAAGAGAAAAGCAAUCGGAGAGGAGGUAGCUAAACUUCUGGCUGCCAACUUCAUUCGCGAGGUACACCACUCCGAGUGGCUCGCUAAUGUUGUCAUGGUGCCCAAGAAGGACAAGUAUCUCCGUAUGUGCAUCGAUUUCAAGCACCUUAAUAAGGUCUAUCCGAAAGACCACUUCCCGCUCCCCCGCAUUGAUCAAAAUUGUUGAUUCGACUGCGGGUUGCGAGCGCUUAUCCUUCCUUGAUGCCUAUUCGGGCUAUCAUCAGAUCCGUCUGCAUGGUCCAGAUGAAUUAAAAACAUCUUUCAUCACCCCAUUCGGGUGCUUCUGUUACAUCACUAUGCCAUUCGGUUUGAAGAAUGCAGGAGGAACUUUUAUGCGAAUGAUCCAAAAAUGCCUCCUAGACCAGAUUGGUCGAAAUGUGGAGGCAUAUAUGGACGAUAUCGUAGUCAAGUCACGCAAAGGUUCCGACCUGCUGACUGACUUGGCAGAAACAUUCGCCAACCUACGUAGGUACGAUAUCAAGCUCAACCCAGCCAAGUGUUCAUUCGGCGUUCCCAGCGGGAAGUUACUCGGUUUCUUCGUUUCCGAACGAGGGAUCGAUGUCAACCCCGAAAAGUUCAGGACCAUUGUUCGAAUGGAGCGGCCGGUAAGAGUACAUGACGUACAAAAGCUCACAGGUUGCCUAGCGGAUUUGAGCAGGUUUAUCGCUCGACUCGGCGAGAAGGCGUUACCUCUGUACCGACUCAUGAAGAAGUCAGAUACCUUCGAGUGGACAGACGAACACCAAAUCGCAUUCGACGACCUCAAAGCCCUGCUUUCCACACAGCCGGUUCUUACUGCCCCGCUCAGUAAAGAACCCCUUCUUCUGUACAUCGCGGCUACAAAUCAAGUCGUCAGCACUGUUCUGACAGUCGAACGCGAAGAAGAAGGCAAAGCGUACAAGGUUCAACGACCAGUAUAUUAUGUUUCCGAAGUCCUGAUUCCUUCCAAGCAGAGGUAUCCCCAUUAUCAGAAGCUUAUUUAUGGGAUCUACAUGACUGCAAAGAAGGUGGCUCAUUAUUUCCAAGACCACUCGGUAUCUGUCAUAUUUGAUGCUCCAUUGUCGGAAAUUCUCCACAAUCAGGACGCAUCAGGCCGAGUGGCAAAGUGGGCAAUGGAGAUGCUAUACUGCGACAUCAAGUUCGAAGCCAAGAAAGCUAUAAAGUCUCAAGCUCUUGCUGACUUCAUAGCAGAAUGGGUAGAACAACAACAACCGACUUACAUCUACUCGGCUCAUUGGACCAUGUUCUUCGAUGGGUCCAAGAUGUUGAAUGGCUCCGGCGCCGGCGUAGUGCUCAUAUCCCCGAAAGGUGAUAAACUCAAGUAUGUGUUGCAGAUCCAUUUUGAUUCUUCCAACAACGAAGUAGAGUAUGAAGCUCUCCUUUACGGGUUGCGCAUGGCCAUCACACUCGGCGUCCGUCGCCUGAUGGUCUAUGGCGACUCAGAUCUAGUAGUUAAUCAAGUAAUGAAGGAGUGGGAUGUAAGGAACCCCACCAUGACUGCAUAGUGCAACGCAAUAAGAAAUCUCAAAAAGAAGUUUGAAGGUAUGGAACUUCACCAUGUUCCCUGACUGAAAAACCAAGCAGCAGAUGAAUUGGCAAAACUUGGAUCCAUGCGGAGACUUGUCCCGAGUGAUGUGUGCCUCGAGCACUUACACCUCCCAUCGGUAAAAGAAGAUCCUUUUAUAGAGGAACCUGUGCAACCGAAGAGCACAACAGAUUAGACUGAAGUCGAGGUUCCCGCUGUGGUUGACCUGGUCAUGGAGAUUCUAGCUGUCAUUCCCGAAUGGACCGUGCCAUUCAUUGCGUACAUCCUGAGGCAAGAGUUACCGGAAGACGAAGUCCAAGCUAGGCAGAUCGUUCGCAGGUCGAAGUCCUUCACCGUCAUUGAUGACCAGUUAUACAGGGAAAGUGUUUCAGGCGUCCUUCAGCGGUGUAUCUCUCCUGAGGAGGGGCAGUUAAUUUUGAAAGAAAUUCACUCAGGAACCUGCGGCCAUCAUGCCUCCUCAAGGGCAAUCGUCGCCAAAGCAUUCAGAGUUGGUUUCUUCUGGUUGCAGGUGAAUGAAAUGGCAAAAUAUAUAGUCGACCGUUGCGAAGGUUGUGAGUUCUAUUCAAACAAGUCCCACAAGCCAACGUCCGCGUUGAAGACAAUUCCCCUUUCUUGGCCAUUCGCCGUGUGGGGAUUAGAUACAGUCGGACCAUUCAGAACAGGACAAGGAGGAUUCACCCAUCUGCUGGUAGCAGUCGACAAAUUUACCAAGUGGAUUGAAGCCAAGCCAAUCAAUAAGCUUGAUGCCCUUACGGCCAUCAAAUUUAUCAGAGACAUCAUUGCCAGAUACGGGGUUCCACACAGCAUAAUCACCGACAAUGGCACAAACUUUGACUCGGAUAGGUUCAAAGGUUUUUGUGCAGACCAAGGUAUCCGAGUGGAUUUUGCAUCCGUUGCGCACCCCCAAACAAAUGGACCAGCGGAGCGGGCGAAUGGACUCAUUCUUCAAGGGUUGAAGCCUCGACUCCUGCGGGAAGUUGGACAUGCCGCCGGCACAUGGGUCACCGAGCUGCCUUCGGUGCUGUGGGGCCUCCGAACAACUCCGAAUAGGUCGACAAGACGAUCCCCGUUUUUCCUCGUUUAUGGGGCAGAGGCAGUCCUUCCGAGUGACUUGCUCCACAACUCUCCACGAGUCGAACUCUUCUCCGAAGCCGAAGCAGAGCAAGCCAGGCAAGACGGAGUAGACCUUUUAGAAGAGGAGCGCGAGAUGGCAUUGAUCCGUUCAACAAUUUAUCAGCAAGAUCUGCGGCGAUUUCAUGCGCGGCACAUUAGGAGCCGCACGUUCCAAGCAGGCGACCUGGUGCUCCGAGUGGAUCAACAAAGACCACACAAGUUGGCUCCCGCCUGGGAAGGACCGUUCAUCAUUUCUGAGGUGCUGAACAACGGAGCAUAUCGACUCUACAACCUCGACAGAGAGACGGACGAGCCGCGAGCAUGGAAUGGAGAUCUAUUGAAGCGCUUCUACACAUAACCACCGACAGAGACAAUGUAAAGAACAAAUGUCAUCGAAGUAAUACAAAGCGGACUAAUUUCUUGCCGAUUCAAAAUUAUUCCUCGUUUGCAGACUUCGGUCUAAAAAAUUAAUUCCGAGUGUGCACCAAAAUUCAGACUCGGAGACUUAGGUGCGACCCAGAGUCGCCUAAGUAAAAACUCGCUCCGAGUGUGCACCGAAAAUAACACUCGGAGACUUAGCUGCGACCCAGAGUCGCCUAAGUAAAAACUCGCUCCGAGUGUGCACCAAAAGUCACACUCGGGGACUUAGCUGCGACCCAAAGUCGCCUAAGUAAAAACUCGCUCCGAUUGUGCACCAAAAGUCGCACUCGGAGACUUAGCUGUGACCCAGAGUCGCCUAAGUAAAAACUCGCUCCGAGUGUGCACCAAAAGUCACACUCGGAGACUUAGAUGCGACCCAGAGUCGCCUAAGUAAAAACUUGCUCUAAGUGUGCACCAAAAGUCACACUCGGAGACUUAGUUGCGACCCAGAAUCGCCUAAGUAAAAACUCGCUCCGAGUGUGCACGAAAAGUCACACUCGGGGACUUAGCUGCGAACCAGAGUCGCCUAAGUAAAGAGCUUCCUCCGAGUGGGCACUCGAGUUCCACUCAGAGGCUUAGCUGAGUCGCCUAAACAAAAACCACGAGCCAAAACCGUGUCAGAAAAAACUCAGCGAAAGAAGAGCAAAAGAUCCGGUUCGAAUUCAAAUUGAGUUCUACGAUCAGUCGACUCGGUGUGAAUCAAGUUUAUCCACACUGAGACACGAAUGUACCGGCCAACAACAGUGGCCAAAGUUUAAUACAAACUCCACUCGGCAUACCGAGGUAAAUGCGCGUUCAGCAUAAAGUCAAUCAAGCAUCGCCGGGGCUGGUAGGCUCCACGAAGGUGUCGAGGUCGAUUCCAUCUGCAAUCCGAGUGGCCUUGUCGAGGAAGGUCUCCAUGAAGUUUUCAAAUCGAAGCUUCUUGGUGUUGGCGACCUGCAACGUCUUCAGCUUGUCUUCACGGGCUUCCUUACAAUGCACUCAGACCAGAGACAGCGCCACAUCCGUGCCACACCGAGCGGCAGACUUCUUCCCUGCCAGCACUCUGCUUGGAACAUCCUCCAGUCGAGUCAUCAACCUCUCUAUCUCAUUCCGGGAGUCAUCUUCAGGCCACAACUCUUUGACAAUUUGGCCGACAACUCCUCUCAGGCGACCAAUGAAAGGACCCACAUUGUUAAGGCGGGAAUUCAGUCGGAACAUGUCCCGGUUAGCUUCAUCACCGAGUGGAACAUUCGGUUGCCCAAGCGACCGUUCAAUUUCGGCAGUUUCGGCUUCAACGUCCCGACAGAAAUCUGCAAAGAAAAGACAGGGAGAAAAUAAGCGUGGAGUGAACUCCAAAGUCAAAAGAGCACUCGGCAAGCAACUUACCACCAAGCAGUGCGACCAUCUUCUUCACCCAGUCGCCGACGUAGUUCUCCUGUGCUUUGCACCGAGCGUUCAUUAACUUCAGCUGGUCCAUCCAUCUAGAUCUCUCCUUCUUCAUUUUUUCUACCCCGGCUAGCAGUGCCUUGUUAGUCCCCCGAGAUUCCUCCAAAGAUACUUCUAGUUCACCGAGAGCCUUCUUCAUGCCAGCCAGAUCAUUCGCAGCUACCUCCAAGUCGGCAGCAAGUUGAGUCUUCUCAGCCUUCAGAGCAUUAUAGGCCGAUCCCAUUUCACAAGUCUUCUGUCAAAGAGACACAAAGGGAGGAUCAGCCAGGUUCAACAAGGAAGAAGUCUCGACAGAUUCUUCAGACCCCUGCCGAUGCAAGCAAUCGACAGUGGUCUCGGGGACUACACCCAGUGGGUUCACUGAGAGUGACCCCACUGGUAUGAAGCUCGAACAGGUCGGUCCCAUUGAGCUUCAUAGCAAACCAACAACACUAUGAGAUAACAUUACUCUCGGAGACUACACCCAGUGGAUGCACUCGGCGUGCCCCCACUGGUACCAUUCGGGCAGAUCAGCUCUGAUCUGUAGAGAUUAUGGAAAAUACAUAUAAAGACAACUACCGGUGCAAGCACUCGGCAGAAGUCUCGGGGACUACACCCACUGGGUUCAUUCGGAGUGAACCCACUGGAAAAUUAACCUACUGUAUCCGAGUGUCUCGCCAAAACCCCCAGUGGGCACCAAGAGGAAUGUAAACACUUACUAGUGCACUUACUCGGAUAUUAUCCCGAAGCUCCAAGAUCUUCUUGUAUAGGGACGCAACAGAGUCAUAUGCUCCUUUGGCUUCGCCCACCAUCAGCUCCACUUGUACCAUGGCGUCCUUGGCGGCUCCUACUUGAUCUUCUGGGAGGCGUCGGGCAUCGUAUUGAACAGUCGACGGACCCGGCGUGGCAGAAGGCACCCCAGGUAUCCCGAGCUCCUUGGGCAUCCCGAGCUCUGCUCCAGUCGGUUCCGCCAUGAAGACCAUCGUCUCAGUCGGCGGCACGCUCAUGGCGGGGUUGGCAGUAGGUUGGAUAACCCCAAGGACAGGUGCCAAAGCUAGUUCCGACAUCCUUUGGUCGUCGUUGUCCAGAUGGAUCACCUCCGAAGGAAGCCCGACUGAACAAAAUAAAAAUACAGAAAAAGAUCAAGAUCAAAGACAACACUCGGGAAACGGUAAUACAGCUCUCGGAGUCAUGACAACGUACCUUGCUGGGACGUGGCGGUGUUAUCAGUGUCCAUGGGAUCGUCACCCUGAUGCGGCAGAGAGGUGGCGGAGGUAGCAGCUCUAUUGAGUGAAAUCCAUUCGACGGGUAAACAUGAAUUCCCAAAAAGAAGAGUCCAAUCGGAUACUGAAGGAAGUUGGAAGAGCAAAGAUACUUACGCUGAGGCGACCGGAACAGCGAUCCUCAUCCGGGACAAAGCUUUCCGAGGUUUAGACCCGCUGGGUUUAGCCACCUUGGACGGCUGAUCCACGGGCUCGGCAGAAGAACCCAUGGUUCUCUUCACACUCCGAGCACUCGGGGCCACGGGAGGAGCCGACGGAAUAGCGGGGUCAUGACGGUGCUUGGUUCGGUGUUCUGGUGGUGAGGGUGACGAGCUCUGCUCUUCACUCUCCUCCUCCUCCUCUUCUGUUUCCUCCUCCGUCUCCCUACUGUCAGAGACGUACUCGGCACUACCCGCGCUACCCUCCAUGCUGCCUUCUUCUUCCUCGACCGGAUUCCCAUUUGAGCCUGCAGAAUGCCAGUUCGUCCACUCCUGCACAAAACACAAUCGGCAACGUCAGUCUACGAGACAAGAAAAGCAAUAAAACUGAGAAGGUUAAAAGCACUCGACAACAUGUACUCGCCUCAUUCGGAGGAGGAUUUUGGGCGCGGAAGGCCCUCACCCGCCGAGCUCCCACAGGGUUGUCACAUGUGCCCGUGAUGCUGCGGACCCACGCACUCACGGUCUCCUCGCUCACGUCUUCGGGAUGGGACCGAGUGGUAUCCGAAGGCCCCGUGUAAUGCCACAUUGCGUGGUCUCGGGCUUGGAGCGGCUGGAUGCCUCGACCCAGAAAAGUCUCCAACAGGUCCGUGCCGGUGACUCCCUUCCGGACGACGGCUAUCAGCGCGUCGAUCAAAGGCUGGAUCUGGGUUCUUUCUCCCUUAGAGAGCGCUAGCUUCCUAGGAGGGCCCGGACGGUCUAAACUGAAGGGUGGUAACCCACUCGAAGCAUUCGGGCAGGCAAUGUCCUGGCAAUAGAACAGGACGAUUGUCAGUUCCUAACCGACUCGGAUAGCUGAAGGGAGGGAUAACUACUUUUCGUUUUCUUCUGAAAUCCUAAACCCCCGCAGAGCUGGAGGAUGUGUGUCUUAUCAUCAUGCUGGCUAAGCUUCUUAACAGUUCGAGAUCUAGCGAAGAAAACAUAUUUGAAGAGCCCCUAGUGGGGAGGACAUCCUAUGAAGCACUCGCAGAGGGUGAUGAAUGCGGAAAGGUGAGCUAUCGCAUUCGGCGGAAAGUGAUGGAGCUGCGCCCUCAAGUAAUUCAUGAUACCUCGGAAGAAAGGAUGGGGAGGCAGGGAGAAACCUCUGGCCACGUGGCUGAGCAGCAGAACGCGCUCCCCCUCCUUCGGCGCCGGCUCCAUCUCACCUUCCGGCAACCUCCAAGAUUUGUUGACGACCAUGCCGUGCUCCACCAGCUCCAGCAUGUCGUUCUCCCUCACCGUGGAGGGGAGGAAGUCCCCCUGGAUCCAGCCCGCCGGCAACGCCCGCUAACGCCGCUGAGUGGAGGCCGCCCCCUUCUUCUUCUUCUUCGCCUCGAGCUUGCUGGUCUGCCCCUUCGUAAUGGCGAGGGCGACGGAUCCGUAGAGGAGGAGGGGAAGGAGGUGGCUUGAGGUGUGCAGGGAGUUGCGGGGGGANGGGGGGAGGGGGGAGAUCAAUGGGAGGAGGACGAGCAGGCAACAGGAAGGUCUGUCGGGAAGGCUUUAAUAGGCCUCCGACUGAGUCACCUACAGGUGGGCCCAAGAUCUUAUCCUCCCAACCGGCUGCUGCAAGAUUAGUGGAGAAGAUCGCGUCGUGGUAAUCGAGGAGGCGAAAUCUACUCGAUGGCGAUGUCGUCAUCCCCGGUGAGCGCGCGGCAACCGAAAUUUGAGGAUCUCGGAAAAUCCGGCGCUCUUAGUAUGACCGGUCACGUCGAAAGAUUCCGCGGAAGCAAACGGUCCCUCACGGUUCGUUUCGCUUGCAUAUUCACUCGGAUCACUUGCCGCAAAGCUAAAAUGGAUCGAGGCAGACAACGCAAAGAUCACCUCAAUACCAGUCGGUUCCAAACUCCGGACAUCACUUCAUCGUUCCAACCCCGAUCCAUUCGUGGACUAAUGAUGGGGUUAUAGUCCGAGGGUNNNNNNNNNNNNNNNNNNNNNNNNNNNNNNNNNNNNNNNNNNNNNNNNNNNNNNNNNNNNNNNNNNNNNNNNNNNNNNNNNNNNNNNNNNNNNNNNNNNNNNNNNNNNNNNNNNNNNNNNNNNNNNNNNNNNNNNNNNNNNNNNNNNNNNNNNNNNNNNNNNNNNNNNNNNNNNNNNNNNNNNNNNNNNNNNNNNNNNNNNUACCCUUCAUAGAGGGCAAGACCCUUAGACAGUUCCGACUGAACUAAGGACGCCCCAUCAUCCAGUCGGCGACGAUCCACUCGGAGCAUAUCUAACGUACCGACUGGAAUCCACUCUGUAACGUCGUAACCUCCGAGGAGGGCAACAUUCAUACGUUUUCAUACACCAUAACUAGCAUUUAAGGGUUACGUUACCAGUAACGCCGGUGUUUACUCGCCACUACUCCACCCCUGUCCACCGGACCAUUAUGAAGGGCAGUACACUCUAUAUAAGCCGCCCUUCACCACUGAUACAGGGGUUGGCACUUAAUGUAAUCCCUUUAUUCACUCGACACAAAGCUCCCACGAGCACUGAGACGUAGGGCUUUUACCUCCACCAUAGAGGGGCCUGAACUCAUACAUCCUCGCCGUAGCUAAGGCUGUGCCCAUAUACUUUCGUACCCCGUACUUCUACUGUCAGACUUAUACCCACGACACGUAUCUAAGGUUACCUUCAUAUUCAUUUAAAAAAAGGUUACCUUCAUAUUAAAAAUGAAUUAUUUCUAUUAGAAAUAAUUUGUAAAGUGCUUUGGUUAUUUUGUAGCCCAAAAUACUUUGAUACUCUGUCACAACAAGGAAAAUCUAGUCCCACCUUUUUUAGGAAAAUCUCAAAAAACCAAUCUUUGAUCAAUCAGGGACUCUCCUUAGAACUCGAUCGAUCAUGAUAUUGUCGUUUGGUGAUGGACUAUUGAUUACACAUAAGGGAACAUACCGUAAUAUCUUUUCCUAAUAAUAAAGUAGCUACUCCUUCUGUAGUCCGUUGUUGCUGUUUUGCAGAAAGGCCCCUGUAGUUUCCUUUAAUUAAACUGUAGUCCGUUUAUAAGUGAGACCGAAACGUUUUUUCCACAUUUUACACAAGACCCCCUUACUUUCAUGCUAAAUAACCCGCGGUCCAAGUUGUAGUCACAGUGAAUCGUUUUUUUUAAUUUUACGUAAACCCUUCAUAUAUGCGUUAAUUACCCCAAGUCCAUUUAGAAUAGAUAUGUAUUUCAAAUAACAGUAUCUUUUAAACCGUAAAUCCAAUUUAAACAUGUUAUAUAUUAAACUUGAUUAGAAAAAUGUGUAGAGUUCGAAUAUGUUGUUAUUUUACAUGUUAAAUAUUUUUAAAAUACUAUAUAGGAUACAAUGCUAAUCAAUAUUUGUCUUUAUUUCGUACCGAUUAUCUGUAUUGUAACAUCUAAACUUAAGCAUCAAUAUUUGUGAAAUGUUAUAAUCUUUGGGCAUGGUGUACUUGCACUAGGUUCUUUCUUUGUACAUAUUUUAUAAUCUACGAUCUUACAUACGUGCCUUUUUUUUACAAUAUUCACGUGCGUUUUGAUCAAUGGACUACACUUUUUUUUAGUGAAUAUACAAACAUUUUUUAUAGGUUAUACAUGCACUUAUAAAAUUGAUGAACAUCAAAAGUACAUGGAGGUUUAUUUUAAAAACAUCUGAACUAAUCAUCGGAUAGUAAUUGACUGUUAAUAGUGAAUUUUUUGUUUGAGGAUAAGAGUUGAAUUCAUAAGUACAAUCUUAAUUUGUUUUCAUCUAUUGUAUGUGAUGGAUAUACAUAUAGAUUUUUUUAAUAGACUUAAUUUAUAAACACGGCCUCCUCAAUAUCGAACAACAGCACGUCGAUGAUACCUGAGUGUGGUCAUAAGUGCACACCAUCAAUAAUCAAAAUUGGAUCAAAAUGAUACAUCUCAGGUAAGAAAUCUUACUAUCCAUUGUAACGCACGGUCGUUUUGCUAGUCAAAUAUAAAAGGACCAACUGCCUUCUUAGAUGAAUCAUCAGAUUUUUAUUCGUAAUUUUGCUCAUCUUUGAGGAUUACCAGGCGCCGUAAAAUUGCUCUGAAUGAAACAUUGAAGUUCACGCAAGAAAAGCUGCGCAUGGUGCACCUCCAGUUCAUCAUCAACCGAGUGCGUUCGCGCCUGGAAAGAUGGAAGAGCAAGCUCCUAAAUUUGGCCGGUCGUGGGGUGCUCGUGCAGUCAGUUCUCACUGCUCUGCCCACCUUUGCUCUCACGGUGCUCAAGGUGCCCAAGAAAAUUCUGAAAGAGGUGGACAAGGAUUUCCUAUAGGCUCAGGACUGGUGCUUGUUAGGUUGAUCUGUACCAUGUGGACCCAACGGGUCCACACGGCCCACCGGACUCCUAGUCCACAUAGGGCGCCCAACUUAUUAUGGUUGGUAGGCCCCUAUGAACCGUGCUAUACUAAUAGAGGUGGGGGUCGGGGCACGAAUGACGAAGUUCACCACCGUCACAAACCCCACCGACACUCCCCUCCGAUCUAGGAUUAGCGCGGUGCUCACGGAAAGCACCACCACCACCUCUUCAUCUCUCUGUCAUCACCACCGUCACCAUCUCACCAUGGCCAACGGCGGGAGCACCUCAAGUGCAGCAGAAGGUAAUACCUAUCACUAUUGUGGAGGACACAUAUCCGGCNN